GCCGGAGAGCAAAAGCUUCGAUGAUACCGGGCUUGGACCCAUCCCCAGUAGCUGGAAAGGCGAGUGCGAAACUGGCACCAACUUCACUUCCUCAAGCUGUAACCGUAAACUAAUAGGGGCCAGGUUUUUCUCCAAAGGCUACGAGGCUACUCUGGGACCAAUCGAUGAAAGCAAAGAGUCGAAAUCGCCAAGAGACGACGAUGGUCACGGAACCCACACUGCAACCACAGCAGCCGGUUCUGUAGUGGAAGGAGCGAGCCUAUUCGGGUUCGCAGAAGGGACGGCGCGUGGUAUGGCCACGCGCGCCAGAAUAGCUGCAUAUAAAGUGUGCUGGAUAGGAGGAUGCUUCAGCACGGACAUAUUGGCGGCCUUGGACAAGGCAGUGGAAGACAACGUCAACAUUCUUUCACUGUCGCUAGGUGGUGGAAUGUCCGAUUAUUAUCGAGAUAGUGUUGCCAUGGGAGCUUUUGGGGCAAUGGAAAAGGGCAUUCUCGUGUCCUGCUCAGCCGGAAAUUCAGGCCCCAGUCCCUACAGUUUAUCAAAUGUCGCACCAUGGAUCACCACCGUCGGUGCCGGAACCUUGGAUCGCGACUUCCCUGCCUUCGUUAGCCUCGGCAACGGCAAGAACUACUCCGGCGUGUCCCUCUACAGAGGCGACCCACUACCGGGAACGCUACUUCCAUUUGUUUAUGCUGGUAAUGCGAGUAACGCACCAAAUGGGAAUCUAUGCAUGACCAAUACGUUGAUACCAGAGAAAGUAGCUGGAAAGAUGGUGAUGUGUGAUCGCGGGGUGAACCCUAGGGUUCAGAAGGGAUCGGUGGUGAAAGCAGCUGGUGGUAUCGGCAUGGUUUUGGCCAACACUGGCACCAACGGGGAAGAGCUUGUGGCUGACGCCCACUUACUGCCGGCAACGGCGGUUGGCCAGAAGUCCGGCGAUGCCAUUAAGAGCUAUCUGUUUUCGGAUCACGACGCUACCGUUACAAUUCUCUUUGAAGGUACAAAGGUCGGUAUCCAACCCUCACCGGUGGUGGCCGCCUUUAGCUCGAGAGGUCCCAACUCAAUCACCCCCGAUAUUCUCAAACCUGAUCUGAUAGCUCCAGGUGUCAACAUCUUAGCGGGAUGGUCGGGUGCAGUGGGUCCCACUGGGUUACCAACCGACAAAAGACACGUGGAUUUCAACAUUAUUUCGGGCACCUCCAUGUCUUGUCCUCACAUUAGUGGGCUAGCUGGACUUUUAAAAGCGGCCCACCCAGAGUGGAGCCCUGCUGCAAUACGCUCAGCCCUCAUGACCACCGCCUAUACAAACUACAAGAGCGGGCAAAAGAUCCAAGACGUUGCCACCGGAAAGCCAUCCACAGCUUUUGAUCACGGCGCUGGCCAUGUGGACCCAGUAUCUGCCCUCAAUCCGGGCCUCAUCUACGAUCUAACCGUUGACGACUAUCUCAACUUCCUCUGCGCCAUAAACUACAGCGCGCCACAGAUCUCCAUUCUCGCCAAGAGAAACUUCACGUGUGACACAGAUAAAAAAUACAGUGUGGCCGAUCUUAACUACCCCUCCUUUGCGGUUCCACUCCAAACCCCACUAGGUGGUGGCGGCGAAGGCUCGUCCACAGUGGUCAAGCACACGCGCACUCUCACAAAUGUGGGCUCACCCUCAACGUAUAAAGUCUCAAUAUUUUCAGAGAGCGAGUCAGUUAAGAUUUCGGUUGAGCCGGGAUCGCUGAGUUUCAGCGAGUUGAAUGAGAAAAAAUCUUUUAAAGUAACCUUCACCGCCACCUCAAUGCCGUCAAACACCAAUAUUUUCGGCCGCAUCGAGUGGUCGGACGGCAAGCACGUGGUCGGAAGUCCAAUCGUGGUCAGCUGGACCUAGGAUCAAUAAGGAGUAGAAGAAGAAAGAGACUGUAGGACACUCGCUCGAAAGAGAGGGAGUGGUAGUUGAUUAUUGUUGUUUUUCAAAUGCCUUAUGUUCUUGUUUUCCAGCAAAAAGAAGCAAAAAAAAUCCAAAAAAUUGUAGCUGGUUCCAGUGUUCGAUGAUGUUCCCUGAGAGAAAAAACAUGGAAAACCCAAGAAAGUGGGUGUGUUUUCUUGCUCAGUGUACAGUAUUAUUGACGGUAUGUAUGUUUAAUUAAUGGAUUGAUGAAUCAAGAGAGCAUAUGAUAUAAAUAAUCAGUUUGUUUGUGAGUCUUAUUAUUGAAAUAUAAGCAGCCGUUGAAUGGCAAGUACAUUAGCACAUGAUUAACCAGCUUAUGAUGAUGGACAAUGAUCGAUUUAUACAAUAUUAGCACGUGAUGGUGUGUAUGAAACGGCAGUAAUGGGACACAAACUAGGUAUGAAGCAAUGAGCACAAACUAGAUAUAAAGUAACGAGACUAAAUUGUGUCACACACAAACUAGGUAUAAAACAACACCACCAAAUCAUGCAAGUAAUAUAUUGUGAUUGGUCAUAUCUUCUAUUUAUCUUACAAUUUCAGAGCUAGCUACCAUACUUGUACUUGGCAAGAGCAGAACUCUGUGAAGAAUCACCUUUUGCCAUGUUACUGUAAUCAUUAAUUUAUCAUUAUUAUUAUGAAACUGUAAAUUAAUAAAGAGAUUUUUUUUUAAUCUUACAAAAGACUAUAUAUGAAACUAAAAGAAUUAUUAUCAUGUUUUAAAUUUAUCAUGAGAAUAAAGUUAAAGUUAAAAUAAUUUUUUAAAUUGGGGUUCAACCCUGUCAUAGCAUGGAAUGCCUAUAAGUAACACAUGAUACACAGGGAUAACAAAUUACUAGUAUGUGCACAAUCUUAUCUUGAGAACAUGGUAUUGAUUAUAUUUCUUAUGAUCUCAAUCUCAUAUUUCUUAUUUACGGAUAUAAUAAGGCAGCUCUAGACCGCUUAUAUAGUCAAUAACUCAAUUGAAUCUCGGUGCAUAUUUCUUUUAGAUACCUGCUGACAAAAGAGCUGAAGUAUAAAGACAGACUCAGUGCACAACCAUAUUGUCACAGGAUGCUUCAAAUGACCCUCCCCAUAGGUGUUAUAUAGAGAGCAAGAAGUUUCUGGAGACUCCUGGAGCCAUCUAUACUAAGUCAUUGAUGGGAAGAGUAUGGAAGGUUCUAGAGAUGUUCACACAUCUCCACACUAUGGUAGAAGGUAUGAAAGGAGUCCAAAGCUUUCUAGAGAAUUCUAGAUACUAAAGGAACAAGAAGAGUGGUUGUGAUAUGUUCAUCACAUGCUUGUGAAAGGAGGGGAGAACCAUACAAUCACACACUUUUGCAAAUAACAACAGUGUCACGAGAUGCCCAAUCAAACAAGAAAAAUUAUAUCAGGGAUCAAUUGGCCUGAAUCCUCCGGUCUAUUCUCCUUGAACAUGAAUUCAACACAACAAAAAGGCAAUACUCAAUUCAUUUGUCCAAUGCUAAACAGUUGGAUACUUUAAAUUAGUUCAUUACUCAUCCAAUAUGAAUAUGCAAGAAUGAAACUACUUGCUAGGUGGUAAACGUGCUCUACUGCAUCUACACUCAGACAGAAACCUCAUCUCCAACCUGAUACCAGUGCAUGAGCUUUACCUGAGACAAAUUUUAAAAGACAUAUAUAAAUGCUAUAAAAUUUUAAAUUACAAUGAUCCACCCAAUUGUAGAGCACCCAGAAAAAGGUAUAGUUACAGCCACAUGAAGUAGACACUGAUGAAUGACAAUUAAAUCAUCACUAAGGAACACAAAAUUUUAAACACACAUCUAGCUCUAAAUAAAUUAGAGUAAAAUUUCACCAUGCCAGUAAUAAAUUUAGUAAAAAAUCAAUUAUCUAAACAUAUAUGGAAAAUCAGGAAAAAAAAGACUGAAAGGAAGUUAUAAAGCUAGAAAGAGCAAGAAACACCUAAAGUAAUGGUAAUGCAUGCUUGCUAAUUAUUUACAUGAAUGUAAUCACAACUUAUGAAUGGUUAAUAUUACUCCAAGCAUUUUUCUAUGUACCAUGAUAGAAAGCAGCAAACAGAAAUUCCGACAACCCGCAUUUUCCGAAUCCCAAAUCAGUUGCUUGUAAAUGGUUCUUUGCAAUGUGCAAUUGUGCAUUAUCCAAAGAUACGACAAGCAGCUAAAUUCAACAUUAAUGCAUGCUGAGUUAUUUUGUUGAUGCAAUCACUGUAGCCACAAAUAAGGUCAAAACCCCAAGUAUUUGUGUCCAUCACAAGCUAUAAGGAAAAAGAAACAAGGUCUGAUAUUUAACAUCCAGUAAACCCAGUUACGUUUGCGGAGAAUCAUGUCACACUACUAUAUUUGUCACACUACUAUAUUGAGUGGGUCUUGGCAAAAUGCACAAUGCCGAUUUUUGAAAAUCAGUCGCGAUUAUCUAGGACCAAAACCAGUCUUUGUUUUCUCAUGAAACAUAAACCAACAGUAAAGUGCAUAAGACAUGAUAAAAUCUGACAAGGAUAGAAACAUAAGGUCCAUUUAUAAAAACCAUCAAUGUUCUAUGUUUUAUAAUCGCAUGGGUUUUUGUACCGCUGCUAUUGUAGACGAAACAGGACCCUUCUUCUGGGUUGGUUCCAAGCCUGAUUAUUGUCCCCAAUGGAAUCCGCAAUCCAACUGCACCACCCAGAAGGGAAUCCUUAGAAAUCCCAUGGCUAACAUAUAUUGAGCCUUCAUCUGAGCUAAGGAAAACUUUUAUCUGAUCUUGAGAACUUUCAUUUUGUAUUCCAUCAUAGUAACUUUUAAGAGGGAUUCUAGUGGCUACAGCAACCACCUUCCUAGAUACGUGCAAUUUUAAAUCUUUGUAUGCAUCCAAUGUAUGAUAUUUAAUAUUUUUGGCUUGCAUCUGAGGAGUUCCUGCAUCUUCUGCUGCAUCAGAAUUCAUGCUGAUUCUUGCAUCCCCAACAGAUUGACGCAUACCCAAACCCAAAGAUGCAAAAUAAGUCAACUUUUCAUUGCUGGCAUGAGACAAUUCAGGAGUUUUUUUGACAAUGCAUACCAUCCCAAAAAGAUCAGGCCCUGAAACCAAGUGCAGCACCUCAGGAGUUUCAUAUACAGACCUCUUCUCAGCUUUGAAACGGUCAGGAAGAAGGUCCAUAAACUCAAUUAAAGGGCCCUAAUUUGCUGCAUGAAUGGCUGAAUAAAAUUCCCCUUCAAGUACAUCAAAAUAACCUAAUCCAGCUACCACCUCCUUCUCAGACGAUAUCUCAUUUAUGGAAAACCUGUACCACUUAACCAUUCAACAACUUCCAUCUGCCCUUUGCAAUAUGGGAUUCAUAUGUAGAUAAUAGAUCCCAGUCAUAAUGGGCCCUUUUCUCGGUAUCUGAAAGAAUCUGCAAUCCCUUAUUAGUUACACUUUGAAGUCAGGAUCCCCUGUAAAUUAAAAGCUUGCCAUGACUUCGAUAUGUUAUUUUUUCAAUUUUAAAAAUAUUCAAAAUAUUCUCCAGUUAAAAUGAUAUCAAGCAGAAUUAUUAAGUUAUUCUCCCAAGCAGAUGCACGAGUCAUGAGUACAAAGGAGUUGAAAGUAAGCAUCAAAAUCCCUUUUUAAGGUUCCACAUUAAAACUAAAACUUUCAAUUUUAAUCACAUGACAGGAAGAAUUGGUGCCAGAACUUUCUGAAUUUGAGGAAUUCACUGAUGCAAGGAAUACUAAUCGACCCUCUAAAUACAAACAGAUGCACAGAACCAGAUAUUCAAAACAUCCUAGCUCUACCAAUAAAAAGGACAUUUCUAGUAAUUUUAAUUCUCUUUUUAUAUUAUGGAAUCUGGAUUCAUAUUGAUUCAACAAGACUCGUAUAAGGAGGUGCUGCUACUUUCAUGUAGCGUUUGCGAGUUCAGCUCUCGAGUUUCAAAUAAUGUGAUAGCUGAUAAUUUUAUUAUCUCUGUCUGCUGGAGUGAGUACACAUCAGUGCUUGGAAUAUGGAUUCAUACCGGAUGAUUCUUUGCCAUCCAUCAAAACAAAGACAUAAAUCUCUAUUUCUACCUCAAAAAUAUAAUUCUUCCUCACAAAGAAAACCUGAUCCUCAGAAGAUUAAUCCAUACCAUUAAUAUAUGAUGACUUCAUACAUUGUUAAGUCAUUUGAAAUCUAAUGAUCAAAUCAAUUUCACAAUUCAAUGUACUUUCAUAUAAAACAGUCGCUGAUAAAGCAAAAUACAAAUGCAUAAUCAUAAAUCAACAAUCAACAGCACAAGCUAGUAAUACAUUCAUUUCUUGGAUGAUUAAUUUAUGAAUACAAUACCUCGUAAGCUUCCAGGAUUUGAAUGAAUCUCUGUGAAGCAGUGGAAUCGUUAUUUGAAUGCGCGAGGUCCGGGUGAGUCUCUUUAGCCAAUUUCCCAAACGAAGCUUUGAUUUCGUCGAAUGAGCUGCUUUCUGAAACCCCUAAGAGGCCGUAUGCGUUUUCUCCGCCGAACUCGGUACUGCUACUGAACCACUGAAUUCUACAACUCGGACGUGAGAAGAAUAGAUAGCAUAAAGUGGCCUUGCGAUUCGAUUGUAGUGAAUUUCACAGGAUUGGCCGGCGAUAAUGAAGUCCGGCGAGGAUGGCCAUUUUCCCGAAUGCGGAAAUACAGAAAAUGGGGUUACAGAAAAUGAGGAUCUCCGCAGACCUGUAAAUUUGAACCAGGCCCAAUAGGCGAUUAGUCCAUAAAUUUGGGCCUAGGCUUGUUUAUGUCACCAAUCUUUUCUAUCUGUUUGGGGAGCUUGGACCAACAUACCAUUCAGGCCCAAUGUGAAACACAUUUUUUUAAAAAAAAUAAAUAAAUAAAUAAGAUAAAACCCACAAACUAGACUCGUCAUUUACCAACAUAAUUUAUUUAAAUUUUGCGAAAGGAAGAAAAUCGUUGUUUGGCAUCGGAUGUUGCCCCCAUAUUCCUAGAAGGCCAAUAGAAAACUUGUAAAUUGCAACAAAGAGAAAUGAUAAAAAAAAAAUUGCCCAAAUUGAUACCAAGGGGAAUAAUUGAUAUCAAUCUUAUAUCAAAUUUUACAUCAAAUCAAACUAAUGUCAAAUCUAAUAUUAACACAUAAAAAAACUAUGAGAACUCAAGGAACAAUUGAUAAUGGGUUCCAAACUCCAAUAACAUAUAACAUCAUAUAUUAAAUUUGAUAUUGAGAUUGACAUCACAAGAUAAUGAUAGCAAAUUGAUAAUAAACCUAAGAUAUAAAACAAUAACGGACUAAAUAUCAUAUGUAAUAUCAAAUGUAAGCCAAUACCACAUCCAAUUUUAAAUCUAAUGUAGUAUAUAAAAUUGAGAAUAAUAAAAUGAAUAUUUCAAUAUUGAACAUAAUAUCAAAUUCGAUGUUGGUAUAAACCUUAAACUUGAUGAAAGUUGAACAACAUUAAGUUUGUCUCUUAGUAACUAAAAUCUCGUAACUAAAAGAACAUUAGUUAAGGCAUUUAUAACUUGAUCAAUUACACAGAACAUCUGGUCAAAAAAAAAUUUAAAACUCUCAAAUGGCAUGGUAAGUACGUAACCAGCUUAUGAUGAAGGAUCCUACAAUUUCAGAGAUAGCUACAAGGAGGGAGUGUUGACUCACCAUACUUGUACUUGGCAAGAGGAGACCUCUGUGAAGCAUUACCUUUUGACAUGUUACUGUAAUUAUUAAUUUAUUAUUAUUAUUAUUAUUAUUAUUAUUAUUAUCAAACUGUAAAGUAAUAAAGAGUAUUUUUUUUUUAAUCUUAUAAAAGACUAUAUAUGAAACUAAAAGAACUAUUAUCACGUUUUAAAUUUAUAAUGGGAAUAAAGUUAAAGUUAAAAGAAAAUAUUAUCAUAUUCAUCCAUGUGUCAAAGUGCUACAGUACAUAGUAGAGUCCAAAUUUUUUAAAAAACCAACAAAUUGGACACGUGUUUCGAGAUAAAUCUCACUCCACAUGAACAAUGGACACGUACGUGAUUCGUGGCAAAGCCUUGGAGCAAGCACAAAACGUUAUAUAUCGAUCAACUCCAUGAAGUAACCCACGCCGGCCAUCUUUUGGAGAAAAGUAUGGAUAAGACGACAGAGCAGAUGAGGAAGACAGCAGAAAGUGAAGUAAAGGGAGGAAAAUUGGAAGGUCUGCCAAUGGAGACAAGUCCAUACACACAGUACUCGGACUUGGAGGAUUACAAGCGAAAGGGAUAUGGAACAGAAGGCCAUCUCCAACCAAAGCCCGGUAGAGGUAGCUCCACCGACGCCCCCACAAUUUCUGGUGCCUCCGUCUCUUCUCGGUCUGAACUUUCCGCCACUGAUGCCAAGAACCGCCACGGGGUCCCUUAGUUUUUCUUGAGUUUGUUUGAGAGCCUGGAUUACUUGUAAGAUGUCCUCCAUGGGUUCAAAGAGAAGAAAUAAAUGCAUUUGAAAUUAAUCUUCUUUUUGUAUUAUGAAUGAAUCAUCAUUUCAAAUGGCAACUUUGUGUCUGUGAUGUUACUGUGGUUUUGAGUCUGAUCCAGAGUAAGGAAACAUUCGAAAUGGCCCAUGAUGUGGAACAGAGCCAACAGAAAAUUAUGGUAAAAACGAGAUUGAAAAUCAGUCCCAAUAUGGAAAAUUUGGGGUGCAGUUGAACUUGGGAAUGUGCAUGUAAGAUAUAAGAACAUUAUUGAUAAAGGUGGGUAUGGAUCAGGCAAAAUCUUUCCCACCCAAAAGGCCCAUGUGUUUUUGGGUCCAGGUCAAGCCCAAGUUUUUUAUCAUAUUAUAUGGUUUGAAAGUUCAAUAUUUAAUACUUCUGCAAAGCUCUUCUACAACUAGAUUUCAAAUUAAAGUUGACCGUUUUUGUAUGAUAUAUAGGUUUGGUGGUAUAAUUGGGCCUGGAAACAACGCUGAAAUGAAAUAAAAUAAUAGCCAUUCUUUCCCUGCCUGAUGGGCAAAGGCAAAAAUGGACAGUUAAGAUGAGACUCCCCCUCUAGUCACAUUCUCUCCCUUCACGAGUCACAGAACGCCCAUGACUAAACAUCCAAAAGCUCGACACUCUCAAACACAGAGCCACACAAUUUCCCUUCUAAGGAUCAAGCCCACCGACCCAAGAUCUACACAUAAGUAUUAUAUAAAACCCCAACCGACCCCUCUUCUCUCCGAUAUCCAGUCCACAUCCUGAUAGAGCAGAGAAUAAAUACGUUCAGUUCCUUCCCUGCUGAUUCAUGUAAUGCAAUAUGGCCAACAAAAGGUCCCAAUUCAGCUGCUCACCAAAUUUUCUGUUUUGAUCCCAAAAAGAAUUAAAAGAAGAAAAAACUGUGUCCCCACUCAAAUAAUUUGAAAGCGAGAGUGGAGAUGUACUCGCUCGGGUAAUGGCCGGCCAGGCAGCUACAGUUUUCUUUACUGCCAAAGAAGAAAAUAAAAAGGGGAAUUUGGGUCGCCUGCACUGACUCAUCUCUAUUUCUACUAUUCUUUUUUCUGGUGCUUUUGGAGAGUGGCUUUACUUCUUUAAAUUCCACUUGUCUCUCAUUCAAAUAUUUUCUUGUCUCUAUAAGUUUCAGUCUCUUUGUUCCAUACUUCUUAUUGCAUCAACAGUUUUUUUUUUAAGCAGAACUGGAGAAUCUACCAUUGAAGAUGGCGAUAAACAAUGAUGAUGAAAAAUGGGAGGAGUUUGACUCUGAUGAGGAAGAGGAUGAAGCAUUGUCGUUCUGUGAUCUUCCGAACGAUUUAAUAUGUAAAGAGGAUAAUUCGGGUAAGGAAGAAAAUCCUCAAGUGGUGGGAACCGGGGAAGAUUUCGAUUUUGGGUCGUGGAAUAGGUCUCUUUUGGCAGAAUCAGAUAUGUGUGCGGCAGAUGAAGUGUUCUUUCAAGGCCAAAUUCUGCCAUUACGUCUUUCAGUCAGUUCCGAUAGCGGCCUUGCUGGCUACCGCAACGAUAGCAGGAAAUCAAGCCGGUGUGUCUCGAGGUCUGAGUCCAUGGAUCGUGGUUCUUGGGGUGGAUUUACAAGCGUGAGCAGCAGGAGCAGCAGCAGUAGAAGUCACAAUUCAUCAAUUAGCAGCACCUCCACCGCAACCACACACAGGUCAAGAGUGCGAAAUCAUUUCCACGCCCACCCAAGCCCCAAGCCCCAGAUCAAGAUUUUCAACACUCGGCAAGGAAAUAUCGGCAGCCGGGGCCGCAAAUCGACGAUGUGGGACCUCUUCCGGCCGGGUUUGGUACGGACACCGGAGAUUGAAUUGCAAGACCUCAAAGUCCGCUCUACUAACAAGGGUUUUGACAGCCGCAAUAGCAGCAGAAGCAGUAGUUUCAACAGCACCGCUAACAACACAGCAAAGAGCAAUCAUGGUUUCAACGCAGAAAAGCGAAGAAGUCAUAGAUUUUCCAUCAAGAAGAGAGAAUUUCUAAGUGGAUGUAAGUGUUCGAUCAGUGCAGUUGAUCCAGUUCCUUCUAGGAUUGUCGUCAUUAAAACCAGCAGCAAUGGGGGUGACAGCAACCCCAAUGAACGUCCAUCACAGAAACAGCGCCAACACGUGAAGAAGAAGAACAUGCAUCGCACCUUUGAAUGGUUAAAGGAGCUUUCGCAUGCAGCUGCUCCUGACGAAGCCUAGAUUCAAAAACACCACGCCACAACCUUUUUUUUUUUUUUCAUUUUUUCAUUUUUCCUUCAUUAUCCAGUAUGUUCUUGUUAUCUGCCUCUAAAUUUUCCCUCAUGUUUUUAAAAUUAUUCAAUUAUAAUAUCCAAGUGGUUGGCUCUGUUCUCAAGAACUGUUGUCUUUCCUUGAGACAUUGAUGUGGUCACUGCUGGUUGUGGUAGCUUUUUCCUCUUUCAUGCGCAUAAAGAAAAAAAAAAUUAUAAUUAACAACACGAGAACCCUAGCCGUGAUGCGUGGGCAUGAUGAUAAAAAAUUGGAGGUGACGGUGAUGUGCGGUGGUGGUGGAGACGGAGGAGGAGGAGGUGGUGGUGGUGGUGGUGUGGUGGUCAUGAUUAAAGUGUGAAGUUUGAUGCUUUUUUAGUGUGGGGCGUGUGAAAAUGGCGUUUCGUGACUGCCACAAAAGCACGAGAGAGACAGAGAGGGAGGUGGCCAAAGCUGGCAAGAGAGACAGAGACUUGCGAAAACAAAGUAGUGGGAGAAUUGGGAAAAGGUAGUUGAAGAAAUGACUUGCCCUUAGAAAAUUAAAAAAAAAGGCUAUAUAAUAAUUGUAAGCGUUCCAUGAGAAAGAAAUCUGAAUCAUUCUUUUUAUGCUCACUUUUGGAUGUUUCUCUGUCCCCUCUGCCCUUUACAUAAAUGUAACCUCUGUGGACAGGUUCAAGAGAAGUGUUCAUAUCCUCUUUUCCUUUUCUUUUUUUUUUUUUUUCUUUUUUUUAAUAUUAUUUAAAAAAACAUAAACUUAAUAUAUUUACCUAAAAAUCCUAAAAUAAAAUCCAUCCUCUUUUUUACUUUAAAAUUAUAAAAAUAUAAAAUCUCUUAUGUAGACUGAGACUUCUGAUUCUCCACUUUCUACACUAUAAGACUUUUCUGCCAAGUGUUACUAUUAAGCGUUUACUAAGCUGGUUCUCAUUAUCUUCAAGCCAAGUUGGCUUUUUAAAAUUUAUUUAUCAUAAAAAAUCAGGUAUGGUUUAAUGAAACAAAAAUCGGUGGAAAACUCACGUGGCGAUGUGGUCCUAGGCCGACCAAAGUUUAUCUCGUAAGUGGGUCCUAGGAAGCAGUGGUGGGCCUGAGGUGGUUCAAACUAGAAACCUUAUGAUACCAGGCCAGGCCCGGCCCGGCCCAUAGAUCGAAUAUGCUUGAAAUUUUUGUGAGGCCCAAAUAUAGUGGUAGAGGGGGAAAAUUUGCAGUGAAUUUGUUGGAAAAUAUCAGAGAGGGGUGUGGACUUUGGAGUGCGGAGGGCAAUGAUGUGAAUCACAAAGUGCGCGGAAGUUGAAGUAGUCAGAUUCCUCAUUUCGAUCUUCUCUAGAUUCAUAUCUAGUCCUGUGAUUCGGCAAAGGGACCCAUCGUGCAAACCAAGUUUUGUCCAAACAGUGAGUCAACUCGAUAGGAUUUUCUAAUAAUAAAGUAAACAAAUUUAAUAUUUCUGUCUGAAACAGGCAUGUUCCGGAGAUAUCCGUCCGAAGUUUUAAUUUUUAAGUAUUCAUUAUUUUGGUAUCCAACAGAAUCGCUAAUUAAAAGAGAAAAAAAUUACAACUUUGGAUUCCUCUUUUGUGCCUGAUCUGAUUUUACGAAAGUCCAAAACUCACAAUUUGGAUUUCUCAUACAAGUAAAAAAUUUAAAUAAAAAAAAAAACAGAUUUCAAUAUAUUUUGAUUAUUAAUAUAAUUCAAAUGAUAACAAAGUGUAUUAAUAUUUAAUAAUUCAUUAAUAAAAAAUAUUAUAAGGAUAAAACUUUUAAAAAAUAAACCUUUCAAUUACAUUCAUAUUCUUUAAAAAUAAAAUAUUAAAAUAUAAAAGAGUUAAAUACAUAAUAAAGAGGAAUCUAUGAUUCAUCAUAUAAAAAAAAUAAAAUAAAAAAUUAAUAUCCCUUCAAUCCCGUGAGCUGAUCAGAGAGUCUGAUCCUUCUAAGUCGUUAAGAAAUUUAAUCCCUAACAUUUCAAGCAAAAACGUAAUAAAAUUAAAUCAAAUUUCAUAAUCCAACAAUUAUUUUAUAAUUUCAUCUUAUUUAAACAACUUCAGAUGUACCUUAAGAGAUUUUCCUUAAAAAAGAUUAUGCAACAAGACAAAAAAAAUGUGCAACACAAAUAACUAAAAAAAUAUAUGAUUGCAAUAUUUAGCCGCCUUCCAACCGACCAACAUGAGCUUCACACCAUCAACGACAAUUGGAAGCAAAUGUUACGGUGGAAAGUCCCCAUCUCCAGCGAUUCCAAUCAAAAUGCUACAAUGAAAAGUCCAAAAGUUUUGAGCCGUAUCCAUACAAAACAUAACUUGUUGAAAUGGUUCUUCUCAUUUUCUAAAAUUAAUUACACCACUUCAAAAUUUGUCACCCUUUAUCUUUACUUUUUUGAAAGAAAAAUAAAAUAAAAAUCUACAAGUGAAUUGGACUUGUGUGUUUCCUCGUAACAAAUAGGUAAAAGCAACAAGGGAAAGUGGUAAAAAAUGAGGUCACCCUCCACCUUCCAAGCAAGAGCCAUUUUUUCAACAGUACGGUGACCUAACUUCCAACAUUGAGUGAUACGUCCAAAUUUGGUUUAAAAUUUAUUUGAUUAUUCCAACGAGAAAUCAUCCCCUGAUCCAUGACCCAUCACUUUAUACAACACCCCACAUUGGAAGCUCUUAGAGAUGUACAGUUAUUUGACGUUUUCCUACCUUCCAAACACCCAUUAACGAGAAGAAUCUUGGGGGACACCAUGAGCCAAUGACUCAGAAGUCAGAACCUACCCCAUCAAUUCAAUGGGUUUUUUCCGAUACUUCAAAUUUGGUUACUUGGGUUGAAUAUAAUAAUGGACUGUGGCCAUGGAAGAGAAUAGGUAUAAGCAACAUCGCCAUCGUGUCCCCGGGAAAAUCGAUGAAUCCUUAUCAAAGGAGGAAGGAAAAUUUAAAAGAGAGUAGGGGCUCACCAUGGUUUUCAAGGACAAGUUUUUUGAACCCAUGUUAGUAGUCCAAGAAAAGAAAAGGCUAACAUUCUUUCUUGUAAGCUUGGCCAUUUAGAUAAAACUUGAAAAUCUUGACCAAAUUGGUGAGAUCCACGUAUUAAAGAGAUUUAGACAUCUCAUCUUAAUGCAUGUAUGAUUCAUCAAAGUAAGAUGUGUUUCAAUUCAAUUAUUUUUAUUUUCAUAAAAAAAAGUAUAUUAGGAAUAUUUUUUUAUAAAAUAAUAUAAUAUCAUAGUUUUUUCAAAUUCUAUAUAUGUUUGACUAAUUUUGUCAAAAACUUUUAUAAUUUUUUUUUAAAAAAAUUAAUAUAAAAUUUUUAAAAAUAUUGUUUUUUUUAAUAAAAAUCAUAUUUUAACUUACAAAAAAUAUAUAUUUAAUGAAUUUUUUAUCAAAUUAAUUAUAUCAUUUAAAAAUUAGAAUUUUAAUUUCAACCGCUAACUCUGGAUAAAACAAAAAAUAGAAAAUCAUUCAUAUUUUAAUUUAGGUGAUGUUUAUUUUUUUAUUGAAUAAAAAAAUUAAAAUAUUUUAUUUUUUUUAUUUAAUUAAAAAUAAUUUAUUAAUAUCGAUGAUUAUAAUUGAACUGAAAUUAUUGAUAAUGAAUUCAUUUUUAUUAAUAGAUUACUUAAAACCAAAACACUUAGCUUUUUUUUAUUCAAUUAAAAAAUAAAAAAAAUGCUAAAAUUUGAGCAACUGAAAAAACAAUAAAACUAGAAAAUGUAAAGUCAAAAGAAAAAGAAUUUUUGCAAGGAGGCGAAUUUCAACGGUGGGUGAGCUUAAAUGAUAAAUAUCAAGAACUUUCCAAGGGUUAUCCGUAACGCACUCAUUAAAUUUUAUAAGGACAAACAUGAGCCACCUAACAAAAUUGAGGAGGAUUUGGUGGGCCAAAUUUUAAAAUUGCUUUGCUUUGGUUUCUAAACUGGAUGGGGUGGCAAAUUAAAUUCAAACUCAAUUUGAUUUCAACGCCAAUCUUGUUAGAAGUUAGAACUCGAAUUUGCCAUCUCCACCAACCCAUGGACCAAAGUGAUGAAUCAAAGGGGCCAUUUUAUUUUAAGUAUUUGACUUAUUAUUAGAGAAUCGCAUGCCCAACACAGAUGAGGUUAAGAUAUCAUCUGACAAGGCAAUGGGUGAGCUUCUCCCUCCACGUCACGGCUACAUCCAAAAACAUUUGAUCGUGACCGUACGGUUGUUCUAGUAGCUUCUUUGGACGGUCCCGAUUCGGUUAUUUGAGGCCUCCUUGAAAAUGCAAAUCAGGUUUCCGUGGCUAAGGUUGGCCUCCAGGGUCGGGCGUGAAUGUGAUAAUUUUGAGUGGGCUUCCAUUUUGGCUUUGUUUGGAUGUCGGAAUUCGAGAGGGAGAAAAUAAAGCGAAAAUUUCAAGAUGGAAAUAUUGGUGCAAGUUGUAACUGAGUUUUCAAUCUUUGCAAGGUUAUGAUAUAAAUGGUAACGUGGCAAAAUUUUAAGAACCAUUCAAAGACGCUAAGCGAGAAGUGGCUAGACAGAAUUCCCACACCAAAUUUUCCAGGAAAAUCGCUUUCCGUCUCCUCCAAAAAUUCCCACUCAUUCUCUCUCUGUUUUCCAAACGCGGCAUUCCCACGUUUCUCACUCCAUUUUUUUUUUCCAAUUUUUAAUGUAUUUUCAAAUUAAAAAGUCGUUUACCACCACACUCACGUCUUCUUUCUUAAUUCACACCGCUCCAAACUGUACCAAACUUCUUGGCACCAGAAUUCCAGAGAGAGAAAGAGCAAUUUCCAGAGAGAGAAGAUGAGAGAGAUUUUGGAGUCGUGUUGCAGACCAUUGGAGAGGUGUUUCAAGGCAGGUGGUGGAGAUGAGCUUCUAUGGCACUUGGAUUUGAAGCCACAUGCAUCUGGGGACUAUUCGAUUGCAGUAGUGCAAGCCAACUCGUCGCUGGAAGACCAAAGCCAGAUCUUCACUUCCCCUUCAGCCACAUACAUCGGUGUCUACGACGGCCACGGCGGUCCUGAAGCCUCUCGCUUUAUUACCAACCACAUCUUCCCUUUUCUACAUAGUUAGUAACCCCAUCUAAACCCUCUCUGUACUCCGUUUGUUUGGUUCCUGAGGAAAUGUUGGAAAAAGGAUGAAAAUGAAUUUUGAGAGUUUGGUUCUUUAGUAUUGGGACCCGGGUAAGAUAAAUACCUGUACUUAACUGCGCCGGGUUAGUUGAGGAGACAAGACGAGACAUCAGAUUCAAAAUUUUCUCAGCAAUUAAACGGAGCUUAAUUUUCGUUUUCUUUCCCGCUUAUCGGUAUUGGUUAUUCAUGAAAAUAAUCUUUUUUCUUCAAUUUUGUUCUUUAUUUUCUCAGAGUUCUCGUCUGAACAAGGGGGGUUAUCUGCGGAAGUGAUAAAAAAGGCGUUUAAUGCCACUGAAGAGGAAUUCUUGCAUUUAGUGAAGCAGUCAUGGCUAGCUAGGCCCCAGAUUGCAUCUGUGGGUUCGUGCUGUCUGGUUGGGGCAAUUUCGAAUGAUGUAUUGUAUGUAGCAAAUCUCGGGGACUCAAGGGCAGUCCUUGGGCGGAAAGUCACAGGAGGGAGGAUGAAUAGCAGUCAGAUGGUGGUGGCGGAGCGAUUAUCAACUGAUCAUAAUGUUGGAGUUGAGGAGGUGAGGAAGGAGGUGGCAGCCCUUCACCCUGAUGAUGCCCACAUUGUGGUGUAUACUCGAGGAGUUUGGCGCAUUAGGGGCAUUAUUCAGGUAUUAAUUAUGGCCUUUUCUUUCACCUUGUAAUUGUAUUUUUGAUGUGAUUUAAAAUUUGGUAUAACAUAAUAUAUGUGCAUAUUGCUGUGAUUAAUUUAACAUAAUACAAGUAAUUAUUUGAGUUUGAGAUGUAAGUUAUCUGCUUUAUGAUAUCUUGGUCGAUUAUGUGUUGUUUGAUGGAUUUGUGGCUUUAAGGCAGUCUUCUUUCCCAUUAUGUGCUAUGUGGGACUUGUUUACUAGAGAUUUGCAAUUGGUUUUGGGGUUGAGCGCUUGCUUCUUCUUUGCAUAGUGAACUUGCAUUUGGCUUCACUUUACUCUUGUUUGGAUAGUGAAUCUGCAUAUGGGUUUAUUUUGUUUGAUACAUCAUUGAUUUAAUCUAGGUAUUAUGAACUUGAAAUUCUGAUGAAGUAUGAAUAGUCGUCAAUGUGCUUUUUAAGGCCCUUGUUAUAUGGUUGUGCUAUUCAUGGUGAAUAUUUUCCCCUCCUUUGGAUUAGGCAUUUAGCCUUCAUCUGAUUUGAAUUUUAUCCUAUCAGAAAUGACAGCUUCAAUUCUCUUUGCUCGUAUAAGAAGUUCAAACUCCCGGAUGUAGUGAUUUGUAAUUUUGAAUUCCUUUCGGUGAAAGUAUCCUCUUUUAUCUUAUUUGUCCUUCUCUGUCUGAAAGAUAGAGCCUUGCUGUAUAUUUUUGCCACAUUUUGUCGUUCUCUCAUCUUUUAUCACCACAAAUUUCUUUCCAUGGUUGAUAUGAGUGUGAGGAAGAAUGCUUUUCUCACAAUCUUACUUUAACAUAAAGUUGAUUGAGAAUUUAUUCUCAAAAAGUACAUAUAUGAUCUAAAAAUAAAUGACUCCAAAAGGAUUUUCUAAGCAAUUCUUUUGAGAAGGAUUUGGUGGAUAUGGUAAAAUAAGAUGUUGAAGGUCAUCCCUUUUAUUCUGGCGGAUAGGAAUAAGCAUAAAGGGAAUUCUGUCUUGUUUAUUAACAUAAGCCCUUCACCUUCUCUUUUAUUACUUUUGUGUCUUUAGGCUUAAUAAAGAUCAUUAUAUUCCUCCUCUAUCUUAAACAUUCCGCUUUAUUUGGCAUUGUUUGGGUCUUACCUUCUAGGGUCGGGUAGAAGACUCUAAGUUGGCAUGACUCUUUUGUUGGAAGAAACAAGAAGGUUUGGAGAAGUGCUUUUUUGUAUAUUUUUGGGCAAUUUGGAAGGAAAGGAAUUAAAGAGAGUUUGAAAAUGAAGAGCAACUGGUCCAAUCCUUGAAGUGCUCUUUCCUUAGAAGUUUGGUGUUAUGGGUUAGGAUGUAGAUAGUAGAAGGAUCAAUGUCUUUAACUAAUUUUGCAGAUUGGGUGGGAUCGGGAUAAGGGAGUAGUUUUUUAUGUUCUAUUUCUGACAAAGCCUUUUGGUAUCCAUUGUAUGCUUCUUGUGUACCUAGGUGUAUAGUUUCUUUAUUGUUAUCAACAUGUUCAUUUUGCUUACUUAUCAAAAGAAAUAUCUUCAUCAGUCAAAUCUGAGUUUCUGAUCCUUGUAUAAAUCACAUUUUAUGCUCUUUGGCCACUCCUCCAUGCAGCUAAAAUAUUAGUUUGACAAGGCAUGACUUGCAAAAUGUGUAGGCAAUGUGCAAAAGCACCCCUAUAUGACCAUAUGUAUCAUUAUCCUUUUUGUUUUGAUGGUCAUAGAUGAGAUAUGUUCCUAUAUACCAAUGUCUAUCUUUACUUUGAUUAUGCAAGUUGGUCCUGUUAUAAGUUCCGUGGCUGUAAUGAAAUCAUACUUAAAAGCUUGCAUGACUACGAUGACUUAAACUUCUGGACCAUCUUGUAAACUUUAAGGUGUUAGUAUCACAUGGUACUUGAUAUACAGUGCAACUUUCUAUAACUGCCAUAGUUAAUGGAAUUUUCCUUAUUGCUGCUACUUCAUUUAUUUCUAUUGAAAUUUAUAUUCAUAUCUAAGUGCAUGUGGAGAAGACCUGGGCUUCCCUUAACGGUCUUUUUUUUAUAUGUAUAUAUAUAGGUCUCAAGAUCAAUAGGAGAUUUCUAUCUAAAGAAACCCGAAUUGAGUAGAGAUCCUCUUUUUCAACAAUUUGGAUCACCUAUUCCUUUGAAAAGACCAGUAAUGACAGCAGAACCCUCGAUAGUAAUUAGAAAUUUAAAGCCGCACGACUUGUUCUUGAUAUUUGCAUCAGAUGGCCUUUGGGAGCAGUUAAGUGAUGAAGCAGCUGUUGAAAUCGUCUUAAAAAAUCCAAGAAUUGUAAGGCACUACCUAGUUAAUCACUUUUUCUUGCUUUCAUAUCUUCAUCUUCCUUUGUAUCUGCAUCUUCAUGAUGUCGAUCCAUAUUUCGAGGUUGUUUAAUAGCUGGUAAACUCUUUUACAGGGAAUAGCAAAACGACUAGUGAGAGCUGCCCUUCAGCAAGCAGCAAGGAAAAGAGAAAUGAGAUAUGACGACAUAAGAAGAAUUGAAAAAGGGGUGAGGCGCCAUUUCCAUGAUGACAUCACUGUAAUUGUGAUGUACCUUGAUCAUGCACAAGGCUCUCCAAAUGGGAGACUCAAGGAUCAUGGCAUUGUUGACUGCACCAGUGCCCCAGCUGACAUCUUCUCUCUUAAUUCAGAUGAAACCCACAACCGAUUUCCCAUUGUUCACUAGCAAAUCUACUUGCAUACAGGUAUAUGUACCCUCUUGUAAAUAAAUAUAAUAAAAUACCAUAUAGAUAGGUGUGCCAAAACCAAGGGACACAAUGGGCCUUCAAAACAAUAAUCACAGGGGGGUGUGUUGUAUUUGUACAUAAUCUGGUGAAUAAUGGGGUUGAUACAUUGAUUCCAUCUUUGAUUUUGACUACUUUUUUUUCGUUUUUUCCUCCUUUGUUUUGGGGAGAGUUAUUGGAAGCAAUUUUUUUUGUUAUUUGUAUGACAUUUUGAGGAAAUAUAUAUAGCUUGAACACAGUGAAUUGCAAGUGUUUUCUCCUCCAAUAAGGUAUAUGCCAAAUGGACUCAUACUGCUCGUUUCGGGAGAAUAGCACUGCCAGCCACAGGAUUAGGGUGAGCUGACUGCUAAGUCGUGGACCUGGGCGAGGGCCAAGGUGCUCUAUAAAUGAAAGACCAAGCUGGUCCGGCCUGUCUCAUCAACUCUAGCCGGGACCGUAGGAUUGGAUUCGCCUUUCUUUGGCCCGUUUUCCUCUGGCCCACCCAAUUUUCUUGGUACCGCGACCAAAUCUCUGAUCUUGUCGAGCCUUCAAAAUCUGUAGUCAACCCUUACCCUACACUAAUGAUACAUUAGAAAAUAAAUAAAUAAACAAAAUAUUUUAUAUAAUCUAUUUAAUAUUCAUAUUUCCUUUUUUUAUCUUUUCUUGUAUUUUACUUCAAAAUCUCAAAAUCACUCUACAAUUUAAAAAUAAAAAAUAAAAAAUAAAUCACACAAAAAUGAUAUUUUCAUCUUAAAAGAAAAUUGAAAAUUGCAAAAGUUCUAAGAAAUAUAGCAUCAAUUUCAGACUUUUACAACGAUUUUUUUUUUCCGCAGCAGAUGUGUCGUGUUGUGCGUUAUGUGGCGCCAACAUCUAAUGUUGAAGAUACGGUUAGCGUAACAAAUUAGAACUAGAUCUUCUGUUGGAAGUUGGAACACCAUGAUGGAUUGAAGUGAAAAAUCUGUGCCUUUUUCAAUCCUCAAUACCCCCUAACCCAGCGAAUCUCCUUUCACCAUAAGAUGUCCAUUCACAUCAAGAUCUCAUGAGUCAUGAGGCCCUCAUAGAAAUAUCAAAAGUUUCACCACUUCGCCAAGAAACAAAAGGGACGUAGUAUCUGAAACAUACAACCCCAACUCCAGGACUCCACCCCAUCUUCCAAAGGACUGCCCAAAAAAGAUGAUUAAGGACAUGAGAGAGUAGGGUCCACCGUCCACCUUUGUAUUUGCUUCUGUCCCUUGUCUAGUGUCAGUUCAUGGGGAGCAGUGUGCCACAAUCUAAAGUCUCCAUAUGCGAUGUGUCCUUAGUCCUACUCCUUACUGUGGUCUGUGUUCUUCCACGACUAGGUUCAAGAAACAUGGCACGUCACAAAGAAUCAGAGUGAGUGGUGUCUGAGCAUGUAUGCCUGGAGGCCAAUGCCACUGCGCCCAUGUGCACAUUGUGCGGCUGCCUCCCGCUCUAUUUCUUUUGCACCCCGCACCCACUAAAGUCACCUGUUAUUGUUUCGGGUAUAAGCACUAGUAGUGUGAGCUUCCAUUUAUGUGCCAGCAGCCUAUUAGUUGAAACUUGAAAGCAAGAAUACCACGUGAAUUUAGAGGUUGAGGUGAAAUGUAUACAUAACCUUAUUCCUAUCGCUCCUAUCAUCACCUCUAAAUCUCUAAUUCAUAUAAGAGACGAGUUAUGUUCAAAAUUAACUAUUCAACCUGUCUAAUCCAUUUUAAUUAAUCUUGUCAAAAUCAUGCGUUUAUAACCCAUCUCGUUAACUUAUAAAUUAAUAAAAUUUCUAUAUUUUAAAAUUAUUAAAUUAGAAAUACUUUUUAAAUUAAAAAUAAAUAAAUACCGAUACAUUGUAAGACAUUAUUUAAAAUUACAAAUAAAUAUAAUUUUUAUUUUUAUUUUUUUUAAUUUAAAUACUUGUGUCACAAAAGAUAAUAUAUUCGUACACCCAGUAUCUUCGCCAUCUUCGCCCUCCUUUAAAUGUUUCAUGUACAAAAAGACUUAAGUGCUUAGACAGAUCCCAUUUGACAGUCAAUUUCGCACUCAAGUCGUAGAAGAAAAAUGGAAACACAAAAGGUAAAAAUUUUUGACCGAAAGCCAUAAACUAAGAUAAUUGUCUGUCUUGAAUGGGGACGGAUUACAGAUAGUGGCCUCAUCUCCACCACCCGAUAGCAUUAGUACUAAGCCAAUAAGAAUGAGAAUGGGUCGACGGCUUCUUGACAAUGUACUAGAGAUGCGCUUUGCCUACUGCUCUCAAGUCUCAACUCAAUGGUUGAAACUUGACGGUCCCCUCGAGUACAUCCAGUUAAAGAUAGAAAAAAUCAAACAUCAGUUUUGACUUAUAACGUCUCCAUUGUUUUUUUUUUUUUUAGGAGAAUUGUGUUUUGGGUCCAACUAGGCCCAAAAAUUAAGAGAAGGUCCAUGUAACUAACCCAUUUAAGCUGAAAACCCAUAGGAAGUGUCAAAAUUAAAAAGAAGGAUAUGCACUUUUAUUAAUUCCAAAAAUAACCUUUGCUGAUUAUGAAAAAAAAAAUUCAUAAACAAAAAAAUCUAGGUUAGAAUUUUGCCCUAAUUUUGCUCUCUCUUCUCUUCAGCAUUUCAAGCCUAGAAGUCGUUUUCUUCUCUUCCUCUCGAGUUCCUCCAUCGCUUGCAUCUCAAUAACAAAAAAAUCCAGGUUGGAAUUUUGCCCUAAUUUUGCUUUCUCGUCAGAAUUUCAAGCCUAGAAGCUGUUUUCUUUUCUUCCUCUUGAGUUCCUCCAUCGCUUGCAUCUCAAUCUUUGCGCCUCUUUCAUUUUUUCUCGCAUUUGUCUCUCUCGAAAAUUUGAAUAAGCUCUCGAUUUCAGUUGGGUGUCUCUUGUUGCAUAUUUGAGGUUAGUAGAUUGCCUAAAUCUCGGCCUAGAUUUUAUUAGCUUUUAGAGAUUGAGAAAUGCAAUCUGGGCCAGGUUUUUGUCUAUGCUUUUAAUUUUGAUAGUCUUUUAUCUUUCACCUUGCUGAACUUACACCUGGAAUAGAACAUGGGACGCUUAGACUACUUGCUUGUUAUAGCUGCCUCAAUGGGAUUUUCUUAGACAUUUAGUUUAUGACAAAUUUAUGAGCAGCAAGGGCAAAAUAUAAAGAGUCAUGUCUGUUGCUGUUUUUUUUUUUUUUUUUUUUUUCCGAAAUUUGAUUAUGAAAACCUCCUUAGUUAUAGAAGCAUGCCUACAUCUCUUGAUGUUCUUUGUGAUUUAUUACUCAUUGGUGAUUCUCAUUUCAAUUCAGACUCGAUGUCUUGGAUCCAUAUCUGAUGUGGAUAACAGCCCACAGUCUUUGCUGUCUUUCAGUGGAAACAAGAAUGUGCAUGCUUUAUAUGAAUUUAUGCUAAAUUAUAGGUAAAUACCUAGCUAAUGUUUGAAGAACUACAUCUCUCUAGUAAGUUAGGUACUUUGUCUAUAUCUCUAAAUUGUGUUCAACUUGAUCUCCGGAGUUCAAGUUACUGUUCCCAUUCAAUAAUUGACUUCUUGGUUUGUUACUAUUAUUCGGAUGCUGAGAAAAUAAUGAGAAAAAGAAGGAAAAAUUUUGAACCAUAAUUUUUUCUUUAAGCCUUGAGAAUGUAGAAAAUGCACUUUACCUGCAACUCAUGAUUCAUGGGUUAAUCGAUCUGAUUUUAUUUUUGUAAUUUUUUUUAGAUUUUUUUUUUCAUGCUAUUUGUAUAUUUUAAAUUCAAAAAAAUAUUUGUGAAAAAUUGUCAUAUAUACUUGAAAAUAAUUUAUAAUUGUUUAAUUGGUUGCUAGAAAACCGGGAAAGGAAAAAUGGAAAGGGGAAAUGGAAAACCUAAAAAGACCCCCUAAAGUUUUCUUAUGGUGUCUUGGCUUGAGAUGUAGGCACAAGUAACAGAUUUAUCUUUUUUUAUCUAUUAGUUUUUUUUACCCUUAAACCUUAAAUGUGUUAAACUAUUGUUUAUGGUUUUGUAUGAAUCAUCUAAAGUAGGACAUGAUAGUUUAGACGAGAAUUCUGUAUUUGUUGCAUUUUUUAGGCUAUUAUCUCUUCAUAUUAUUUUGCAAAGCAAUGCUUUAUAAUUAAUAUUUAAAUAUCUCCAUUCUCUUUGAAUAAGUUUGUAAGCAUGUCUGAUAUAGUAGUACCAACAGAAAUUGUCUAAGGGUUUGAGUGAGAAUGAGAAUUUGUUUUCUACCUAGUGUAAGUAUAGGUCAGAGCUUAAUAAAACGUGGGGGAUUAUUUCCUAUUGAAUGUCUUAUAGUUCCAUAAUUCCAAUGUUUUUGGUGUAUAUAUAUAUGUUCUAGAGUAUUAUGUCGAAUCGGACACAAAAUCCUCCUACUUUACUAGAUAUUGUUGUGAUGUUCUGUCUUAAAGUUCCAAGUACUGACACGAUUAGAUUAUUACCAUAGGUAAGCAGUAGUGUCAAAUUGGGUAGCACUAAAGUAGUUGGAGAGAGAGGUUUUUGCUUAUAAAAAUGUGAACUAUGAAUAUAUAAGUAAAGGGGAAUGAUAGGGAAAAUAAGCUAGAGAUUUGUUUUUAGAAGUAGGAGUAGAAGUAACAUAGUUUUUAGUUGUAAUCUUUCAUUUUUUUUUUCCUUUUAUAGUCUUUCUUAGUUUUUAAUUUAAUGUUUUUUUUAAUCUAUUAAUUUCAAUCUUUUAAUUUCCAUUUCAGUUUUACAUUUCUCAUUUUUGUUUUUUAUUUUUAUUAUUAUUUUUAGUUUUGUUUAGGUUAGGUAGUAUUUACCAGUCCAAGAGAAGAUAGAAGCUUGGUCUUCAUAUCUUAGUUUAACUCACCGUUUGUUUAUUAGUGCCUAUUUUAAAAUAAUCUUACUGUUGACAAUGGUUAGAAUAAUCAAAAGAAGCAACAGAAAUUAUUUUUUAAGACUUUAAAGUUACAUUUGUUUGUAUGUACAUUUUUUGAAAUAUAACUUUUUCGUAUGGGAACAUAGUAUAUUGUGAAAUGAAAAAACUUUUAAGAUCACAUUGAAUAUGCAUUAUUGUUUGUUCAACAAUAUAAAUUUGUGCUUUAUUUCAAUAGGUUGAUGGAUGCCACAAAUAGAAUAUACUGUUAUAUUUUCGUGGGAGGCAAACUUGUCCAAAAAAAUGAUGGCCUUUGGGAAUAUGUUGGUGGAAGAAGCAAAGGUAUUCACAUUUAUAAAGGAAUGGCAUUUGAAGAAUUCACUCACAAAGUCUUAGAAAAAGUUGACAUUUCCCUUCAUGUGAGGAGGAUGCACUACACCCUCAAGUUUAACCCUAGAGUCAUCCAAGAUUUAGAAGAUGAGGAUGAUUUGGAUAACGUGGUUUCCCACAAUGAUGACUUUGCAAAUGUGUACAUAGUAGAGUCACCCAGUGUGGAAGCCAUUGAGGCAAAUAUACCGAAUACACAGUUGGCAUUUGGGUAAUGCGCUGUCACUUGGAUGUCUAUUUAAAAUUUUCUGAAUAUCAAUUUUACGCAUUAUGUAGUCUAAUUUUGGUUAUGAAUGUAAAUGCAGAGGUCCACCUCCUACGUUUCUUUCGUCUAAUGCAUCAUGCGAUGCAAGUCCUAAUACUAUGAUGUUAUCAAGAGGUUUUGCAUCGCGUUGUGCAGAUAGUGAGUACACUCCUUUGGAAUCGAAUCGGUAUCGUGAGACAAUAUUAGGUUCCGGACAUACAUUUAAGAAUGCAGAUGAGUUUUGGAAUGCAAUAUACCAAAUGUCAUUAGCUAGAAGGUUUCAAUACAAGUAUAAGAAAAAUUCACCUACUCAUAUGUCAGUAAAGUGUUCAGUUGAGGGUUGUCCUUAGAAGAUAACAGCUCAUGCUGUUGAAGGAAAUGAAAUAUUGCGAGUUUAUACUUAUCAAGUUAAUCAUAAUCAUAUAGCUCAAUAUGAGUGUUCAUCUAAGGUGAGGGUUUCUUCAAAGAGAGGUGUUGUUGUUGUUGAAGAUGUGUUUAGAACAACUUCAGAAUACCUUCCCCGACAAAUUUGCAAGGAUUUUGAACGUGAUCAUGGAGUUCAAUUGACUUAUAACCAAUGAUGGCAUCUUAAAGAGAAGGCAAAAGAGCGCUUAUAUGGAUCUCCACGUGCGUCCUACGCGUUUUUGCCUUGGUUAUACCAUAGGCUAAGGGAAAUUAACCCCGAAAUUAUUGCCGAGUACACUUCUCAUGAAGGUCACUUCAAGCAAUUGUUCAUUGCCCAUGCAUUUUCAAUUCAAGGGUUCACCAUGGGGUGUCGACCGGUAUUGGCUAUUAAUUCUUGCUACCUAAGUGGUCCAUACAAAGGAGCUCUUGUGUCUGCCAUUGCAUAUGAUGCAGAUGAUGGAAUGUUCCCUCUAGCACUGGGUGUGGUUGGUUUAGAAAAUUAUGAGGAUUGGUAUUGGUUCUUGGAGAAAUUGAAGGGGAUCCUAGAUGGUCAAGAACUAAUUAUUAUAUCAGAUAGACAUAAGGGAUAUUGCGUAGUGUUUCGGAGUUGUUUGGGGUAGAAAAUCAUGCCUAUUGUUAUUGACAUGUGAAAGAGAACUUUUCAAGCUUCUUCAAUAGGCAAAACAUUAGGGGAAAGAAAGGGAAAGAAGAUGUUUUAUUACUUUUAGACAACAUUGCAUAUGCUCGGUUGGAUAUAGACUACAAUUAGGCGUUUGAAAAACUUGUGCGUUUUAAUGGCGACCUAGCAAGGUGGGUUGCGUAGAAUAGUCCAGAGCAUUGGGCGAUGUCAAAGUUCCUUAAAAAACGUUGGGAUAAAAUGAAUAUUGUAGAGUCCUUCAAUGCGUGGUUAAGAGAGAAACGACACCAAACAAUUUAUACGUUGUUGUUGAUGCACAUGGAUGAACUUGUAGCCAUGUUGGACACCCAUAUGCAUGGUACAGAUAAGUGGAAGAGCGUGGUUGGACCCAAAACAGAGGAAAAGCUAAUGUCAAAUAUCAUGAGAUCUGCUCCGAUUACUAUGAUGCCCUAUUUGGGUGGGAUGUUCAAGGUUUUUACUGGAGAGGUUUAUUUGGUUGUGGAUAUGCAACAACAUAAGUGUACAUGUCUAACAUGGAAAAUGUCCGGGUUGCCAUGUCCACAUGUAUGUGCUGUGAUCCGCACAUUGAGACACGAUGUGUAUGACUAUAUCGACCCAUGUUUUAAAGUCUCCACCCAACAUUUGAUUUACUCGGGUCAGUUUCAACCAUUACCAACACACAACAUGCCUAAAGUUUGUGAGGCUGGGACUUUGCAAGAUGGCCAAGGCAAAGUAUUUCCUAGUCUUCAACCCCCACAAGUGAGACGUCCUCCAGGAAGACCCCGGCAAAGGUGUAUUGAGUUACAAUUUAGCCAUAAGAGAGCUAUUCAUUGCUCUCGAUGCAAUGGCAUAAGUCACAAUCGGUCUAAAUGUAAUAAUCCAUUGCCAUGACAUGUUCAUUUCUUUGCUUGUAAGGUUUUCAUUUUGUGUACGAUCCCUCAUUAUUCCAUUAUUUGCUUUAUGGUCAUGGGGUUGUUGCUUUUGGAUGUUAUGUAUUGUCCUUAUUAUAGACACAAUGCACUACUUUUUAAUUUUUUUUUUAAUAGGACUACUUUUUAAUUUUCAUUAUUUGGAGUUGCUUUCAUUACCGAUUUAAUUUGAAAUUGCAUAUUCAAUGUGGUAUCCUUUAACUUGAUGUAUACUUUCACUUUCCUAUUUUAAGUAUGUCCUACUCACAUCGUUGGAUGCGUGCAUUUUCAUGUCACUUAGCUGAACUUUCAUAGUAUUGUACUAUACUUGCUGUCUAGUUAUUCACUUGGUCAGUUUAACUGUGCAUAACAUUCUAAUUUUCUAUGCCCAAUGAUGCAGUUACAAUAUUAACAAUGGCUGGUAAUGGCCUAGAUGGUUCUGCUACCAGUUCACUCCCAAUCUCGGUAUGGUUCUUCAUGUUUGCUUAUCUUUGUUGUUUUUUGCAUUUUUCCGUUGCCAACAUACUAUUUGAGAGGUUUUGGCUUCUCUGGUAGAGUGCCACAAGAAGUUAUAAUCUAUAGUCAUGCAAUUUUAAUGUAUUGUGAGAACAUAAAUCAGAAUGCAUGUUGGUAUCAAAAUGGGUAAAAUUUCAUUUUAUGAUAUUUUACAUAUUUGAAUUGGUGUGAACAAAUGACUCCCUUGUUUAUAUAUAAUCUGAAAUCAUUUUCUGAAUUUUUCAUUUUCAGAUACCUUUUAAGUUAGUAUAUAUAUAUUAUGCAUGAAAUUUAAGUGAUUUCUUCAUCUCCCUUAUUAUAGUUACCAUGUAUCAGUUAUAUUGGAAAGUUCUCUAAUAUAAUAUUUUAACAAUUCAACAUUUAUUUAUUCAAUACUAUUCUAUCAGCUUUGUAAGUUGUCGGGUAAUAUUUGUGUACAAUUUGGUAAUAUGGAAAAUGUGGUUCACUAACACCAUAUAAAUUUAUGUUUUAGGGAUCUAAUGGUCUUCACUAUACAGCUACGGGGAUAGGCAAAAACCAUGUCGUCUAGGAGGAGGGAUGAGGGUAGAGGAAGGGAUAAAGAGAGGUGUUGUGGUAGGAAUGGUGAUAGGGAUGGGAUUAAUGUUAAUGGAUAUACUCAAAGUAUGUUCGGUUGUGUCACCUCAAACCAUAUUUUAUAAAACCUAGAAAAUUUUUAAGUCAAAAUGAACUUCCUUACCUAGUGUAAUGCUUCACCAAAUAAUUUAAUUUUUCCAUUUCUUUACUUAGGUUACACUUAAAUUACAACUUGACACAAAGAAAAGAGGAAAAACAAAACUACCAUAUUUUUUGCAACUUUCUUAUGGUUUUUUAAACUAUCAAACAACAUCCAAGAAAACAAUUGUUUGACUUUUAAGUUGCUAUGAUGUCUUAUUAUGAAGCAAUCUAAGUAUCCCUUGAUUAGCUUUUUGUUACACCGGUAUUCAACCCAUUUUUUAAAGCAAUUUUAUGAGGACAAGUUGUCCCCCUUUAGAAGACACAUGCAAUAUGCGAAUUUUUUUGUUUUGGUUUGUUUUUUGAGUGAAAUUAUCACAACAAUUAGAAGAUAAUUUCAAAUGUUUUGAUUACUAUUUCCAAUUACAACUCUUUGCUCAAGGUUUAAUUGUGAAAUCUGUUUGAACAAUCAAUUUCACACUUCAAUUUCAGGUUUUACUUUGAUUUUUAACUGAUCAUAGUCCUUAGCACUAAAAAUAAAAAGUGAAUUUACUAAAAAAGAACUAGUGAACACGAAUAGCACUUAGGUGGUCUCCACAAGGAUUUACUUAUCUAAUUCCUACAUCUAUAUAUAAAUGAUCUAUAUUACACUAUAAGAAAUGUAAGAUAUAAUGACUUAGUUUUAAUUAGGCAAAAUCCACAACCAAAGCAACAUUAUUGCUAGGGGAAGGAAUAACUACUGCUAUAAAAGGUCUUAUAACUGAGGGAAGAAAUAGGUUGUUGCCAUAAGAGCUCUUAUAUUUAGGAGAAGAAAGGAGUUGCUAUUAUAAAUGGCUCAAUAGAGCUACUAUAUAACCACUACCUCUGCCGCUCACUUUGGGCUACCAAUGACCCACUAAGAGUCACUUCCUUACUUCAAACUAUUGAGAACCCACUAGUGAGAAUCUUCAAAUGACUUGUGAUUUUGUUUUCUUACUAAUUGUUUGACAUUUUUCUUCUAUUCACUCUUCUCAACCCUCAAUGUUGAGAGACGUUGCUAGUGAUAGCCAUUGAACUCUUCUUCCAAAGGCAUAAAACCUUAGGAGCUGAGUCAGCAACUAGAUUGCUGAUGAACAACCAACUCGCUCACCGAACUCCUUGCCAUACUCGAAUUAGAAUUGCAUGUCAGAGACUAAUGAUAAAUAACCCUAGGAAGUGAGUCUCUUUCCCAAAAUUUUUAGUCUCCAAAUAUAUGAAAUUUGAUUGUGUUUAUUUUCCUCUUUGGCCUUUGUUUGGCUUAUUUGAGUAAAAAAAAAUGAAAUUUGAUUUUCUAUACAGACCAAGAGUUAUUUUUUACGCUCAACUUCGGAUAACUAUCAAGAGCUGCUCAGAUAUAACGAUUACCGCUACUCUAGUAGCUUCACCUUCUAACUGGCACUAAAGAUUUCUAUUUACUUCAGAUCACUUCUUACACUUUCCUGGGUGAAUCUCGGAUUUCUAGUUUCUGGAAAUCAAAGUAAUGGAUAGUUGAUGUUGCUUAAGGCAUUCAGUUCGUCUUGUGUUUGUUUCCUAGUUAUAGAAUGGUAAUGAAUAUUCAUUCUAAUCUUUGUUGCACUUUAAUAGGUUGAACUGCAAUGAGCCUUUCAUUCCAAUUUUAUGUUAAUUUAAUUCAUGAUUUUUAUUUCAUCAACAUCUCUAAGUUUUUCUUAUUCCACCUCUAAAUAAUGUUUGCAAUUUUAUUAAUUUCAUAUUUUCUGUUUCUGACUUUAUAAAAUUGUUUUCUUCUUUGAUUGCUAAGAAAAUCAGGGAAAAGAAGAUAAAUAAAUGUUUACAAUUUAUUUUCUUAAAUUUUUUUUCUUUUUUAUUAUUUUUGUUCUCCUCUAGGUACUUAACACUUACUUUAGAGUUAAUAAGACUGUUUAUUUGCUGAGAAUGGAAUGGUAUCCAGAAAAUCUUAAUAAAGAUUCAUUUCAAUAUUUGGUUACACUUAAUACUCUAUCAUGGAAUAUGUCUAUUAAUGUGAAGCUAUUCGAAGUUAAUUCCAACUUUUCAGCUAGAAUUCAGAAGAAGAUUAUAUGUUAAGCAUGACAAAUUAUUAUUCAAACAUAUAUUUUAUUCAGUAAAAAGCAUGCCUAAAGAUGGGUUCCAUUCAACUAGUGAACAACUUUUUAAACAUCACAUGUGGCACCAGGCCUAACAAUUGUCUAUAAUUUACGAGGAAACUCUGAAGAAGACCAAAAUGCUUCUAACUGUGGCUCACUUUUAGAGUAGUCACCCUUUUCUCCUCCAAGCAAUUCUUCAGAGCCAAACAGGAAGACAUUAUUUUCUUAUGUCCGUAAUUCUCCUUCUCAUCCAUUCUCUCAUGAUCCAGUACUGUCAUUUCUAAACUUGCUUCAAUUUAAUGCCAAUGAUUAGCAAUUUCAAGCUUCCUGUUUAUUCCCAUAAACACCAAAUAUUUCCAAUUAAAAUUACAUGAGAUAAAUGUGGAUGAAAUUUACACCAAACUAAUUGGGCACAAAUUAAAUUUUUAAUUCAUUUGUUGCAAGAAUAUACAUUGAUCAACGAAAUAAGAAUUGUUUCAUAUACUAAUCAAAAGAACAAGAAAGGAAAAGUUGGGUAGAGUGGGCUAAGACAAGAAAAAUCUUCAAAAAGAAAAUUUAGGAAUUCAAGCAGAAAGCAAAAGGUCAUGAGUUUGAUAAAAUCAAGAUAGCUAAUAGAAUUUUUAAUAAAAUGUGAAAUAGUCAUGAACUUACAGCUAACACAAAGAGCAAGAGAAAUUUUGAGAGAGUGGAUCCUAAAUUAAUCUCAUGAUAUCAGUUUCUAUGAGCCCCAAGCCUAUAGAGCUUAUAAAGCCUUAUUACAAAAGUCUCCAGCCACAUAGAAAGACAAUAGGACCAAAAGUAGCAUUAACUACGCAUGCAUCAUGUAACCAGGUCAAGGUAUACAAAACGAAAAGGAAAAAUGUAAAAAAUGGAAUAACCUAGAAUGUUCCAGAGGAACACAACACCUUAUGCAUAUACAUCUUGCCCAGUGUUUGUGAGCCACAGAACAAUAGUUACAUUUGAGGCUUUUUUAGAGGUCUGGACUCAUCAAACAAAAACGGAGAUCUUGCAUUGUCCAACUAGUGCACCAUAUGGCCCAUAACCCACUAAAACUGAAGCUGAUGGACUACAUAGAUGUUUGGGAAUUUGAAAGUAUAUAUAUUGAUGUAUUGGAACACUUUCGAAUCUCAUGACCAAAAAUAUAUCCUAGAGUUGAGGAAUUAUUCAAGGUUGACUAAAUCAAUCCAUUGAGAGACAAAUUAAUUUGAAGGGAUGAGAAAGGAGAAUGUUAUUACAGUCAAUAUUGUAUAUAGGAAAAAACAAUCAAGAAGACAUCGAUUUCUCUAUUACCAACACACAACAUUUGCAUGUUAGGACAGAUUACAAAAUAAUAUUUUCAGAUCUUGAUCAGAAAUCAAAGUUAGCUUGUGGCUUCCGCACAUUACUUAAUGAAAAGACUAAUAAUAUCAUAUGCUGCAUUUAUUCAAUUAAUACACAAUCAAGACAGAUUAGGGAAUCUAAAAUGGAGCUCAGAGUUCAUCGAUUGAGAUCUUAUCAAACUCAACCAAUCACAUGAAAUGAUCUUGAUCUCUCACAAGGAAAAAGCAAAAUCACAACCAUGAAAGAAAAACAAAUUAACCAAAAAAAUCUGCAAGUAAACAAUGAACAAUGAACAAUGAAAUCACAAGCAUGCCAAUUGCCAACAAGCCCAUUCUUCUACAAAUUCUUUUUUCUCUUUCGUACGGAACCAAUAAAACAUGAAAGACUCCAAAAAUAAAAAGUUUGAUUUUUGUUUGUGGCUCAAGAACAUGAAUAGAAUCCAAAAAAAUAAAAGAUAAAAAGUGGGAAUUUCUGUUAAAAUUGCUCAACAACACAAAAGCUAAAGAAUUGGGAAUUAGCAAACUUGGUAUAAUAAAAAGUAUACACAAAGCAGAAUAGAACCUGUGAAAGGAAAAAUUACUUUUACAAAUGGGUAUGAACACAAUCAGGGGAAACGGAACAUAGAAGAACCCAAACAAAUGGGAGUUAUUGAGUAGCUGAACGACCUACAUUACAACACAUCUCCCAAGUUCUCAAUCAAUCUGAAGAAAUAACAACAACCCACAUAGAUAUUGCAAUCAAUCUUGAAUCAAAGAAAAAGAAAAUCAAAUCCAACAACAAAAACAGACCAUUAGCAAAGAAAAAACUACCUAUCAAUAGAGUUUUCACCAGAAGAAAUCGUCAUUGUAUCACAGGUAGUUAAGAAAAUUUUCCACUAUUUUCUAUCUAGAAAUUGAAUUUCAAGAGGUGGGUGUUGGAGAGAAAAUCACAAAGAAGAAGGCGAUGGUGGAUGUGAAUAAAAAUAAGAGAGAAUUCACUCUGGUGACAUGACAUUUUAAGUUUACCAGCUGUGAAACCCAUUAAUUUACAACCAUUUGAGUUAGAAAUGUAAAGGGCAUUUUCGUCUGUUAAUAUCUGAUAUCCUUAUCAUUAAUUAGGUCGGUUACAUGGGCCUUCUCUUAAUUUUUGGGCCCAGUUGGGCCCAAAACACAAUUCUCCUUUCUUUUUUUUUGCUGGUUUGAGAUUUGAGAUUUGUCACAAAAUUUCUCAGGGUAAGUAAUUUCAAAAAUAAGAAAUUGGUAUCCAAAAUGUGAACGGCAAACAUAUCUUAAAAACAUUUCGGCAUUUGAUUUGAUACGAUAAAGAAAAAGCCAUGCUGUGACAUGAGGCUAGAUAUUUUUUGAGCAUAACCUACUUCUGUUUCAAAUUCCAUCGCCGCCAUCAUCAUCUACAUUUGAGAGAAUAAUUAUAUUCAAAACAACACUACUGUUCAAUUUGCGGUUUUCGACUCGUUCAAUUUCCUUUUGUCCUUUUUUUUCCAAGACUUUGUCCAGAGCUCUACUACAAGGCCCAGACAUGUGCACUAAAGCGACGGCUUUGUUGAUUUUACAUCCACUUGGAUGUUGCUUCUUUGCAGCCCAACUACCUCUUUCAACGCCACAAUUAUGGCGCAACCGUGGUUCGUCUUCUCUGGUACUAGUAAAAAUUGAAUUUUUGAUAUUUAAUGAAAUGCUCCACAUAAAUGAAAUAAUUACUAAAAUAUUUAGAUUAUAGUUCUUUAAAACAGAAUUGAAGUAUUUUCAAAGGUUUUUACUUUGUUGAUUCCAAACCUUAAUUUGGAGCAGCUCCUCCCCAAAUUUAGGAGUCAUUUAGACCAAAUCUCCAUGGCGGCUUUGUUAUCUGUCAACGCUCCUUAAUUAGAGACCAAGGCAUAUGUACCACGACAUUCAACUUUGGCCGUCGGAACCGUAUUUAAAAUGUUCAUAUUCAAUAUUUAACUUUAUUUUAACCUACUUACCUACUUGCACCUAAAAAAAAAAUCCUAAAACUAUCCUAUCAAAAAAUCUGACCUUUAAUGGAAAUUGAAAAUCAGACAUAAGUCCUUGAAGAAAUAUUAAUAUAUUUUCCUUUUUUUUUUUUUUCUUUUUGAUAGGAAAAAAACCUGUUGUGACAGCGUAAUUAUUUGGGUAAAAGGUUUUACACAAGUAGAGACAAUGUAUGGAGGGUGUAGCAGAUUGACAUUGAAUAAAAUCUUAUCACAGUGUCAACAUGUGGUGGUAGUUUGUCAACCAUCUUCAUAGGGGACUAGAAAAAACAAAAAAGGUCGUCAGAAAUCCAAUAAAAUAAACGCAAAAAAAUAAUCGAGUGGGAGAAAAAUAUCGAUGGGAAUAGUAGAAGAAGCUCACAACUUGAAGGUGGUGGGAUCAGGGGAGCAGAUCAUCGUGCUCGCCCAUGGCUUCGGCACCGAUCAAUCUCUGUGGAAGCAUCUUGUUCCUCAUCUCGUCGACGACUACCGAGUCAUCCUCUUCGAUAACAUGGGCGCCGGAACCACCAAUCCGGAAUACUUCGAUUUUGAGCGCUACUCCAAUCUUGAAGGCUAUGCCUACGAUGUGCUCGCCAUUCUGGAAGAGCUCCAAGUUCAAUCUUGCAUCUUUGUCGGUCACUCGGUUUCCGCCAUGAUUGGCGCCAUCGCCUCCAUCACUCGGCCUGAUCUUUUCUCCAAGCUCAUCUCGAUCAACGGUUCUCCCAGGUAGAUCUCGUGAUUAAAUUCAAUUCGACGGACUAUUGGUUUCAGGUCGUCGUAGGAAGUCAAAGUCUUACAUUAAAUCACAGAUCAGCUCAAAAAAUCAGAUCAUUGAUAUUUUUCAUUUUUCCAAUGAUUUUAAGGUACCUGAACGACGUUGAUUACUACGGAGGAUUCGAGCAGGAAGAUCUAGACCAGUUAUUUGAAGCCAUGGGAUCGAACUACAAGGCGUGGUGCUCCGGGUUCGCGCCGUUGGCGGUCGGCGGCGACAUGGACUCGGUGGCGGUUCAAGAAUUCAGCAGGACUCUGUUCAACAUGAGGCCGGACAUCGCCCUGAGCGUGGCACAGACCAUUUUCCAGGUCGAUCUCAGGCAGAUUUUGUGCCACGUCACGGUCCCUUGUCACAUUCUACAGAGCAUCAAGGACUUGGCCGUGCCGGUGGUGGUUUCCGAGUACCUGCAUCAGAACCUGGGAGGCGAGUCCAUUGUGGAGGUGAUGACGUCGGACGGCCAUCUGCCGCAGCUGAGCUCGCCGGAUAUUGUAGUGCCAGUGCUCCUUCGUCACAUUCGCUAUAAUAUUGUAACUUGAAUUAUUGCUUAACUCCAUUUAGUACGCGCUGAUCAGGUAAAUCAGUAUGGUCCUCAUGGACCCAGGUAGUUAUCUCUCCCGUUUAUCCUGCGAUCCAUGUGUAGUUGUACUUGUUGUAAUAAGAUUCAGUACCAGGAAUUUCCAUUUUUCUUUUCUUUCCUUUUUCUACUUUCUUCUUUAUUUUUCAUGUUUUUGCCCUUCUCCCUUUUUCUUUUGCAAAUAGUCUUUCCAGCUAAGACAUGGCAUUAUCAAUCAAAUUCAGUACUAUCCAGCAUCUACAAUUUUAUUUUUUUCCUUUUCGUCUUUCUUGUCUCUUCAACAAAUCAUUUAAAAACUCUUAUGAAUUCAUUUUCCACUCUCUACCAUUUACAACUUCUUUUUCUUUUUUUCCUUUUCCACUUCAACAAAUAAUUAAGAGGCGCCCCAAUGAACUGCUGACCCAAAUGGCUCCUACCCACCAACAAUGCAGCAUAUAUAAUUAAAAAAAAAAAAAAAUCCUCUAUAUUUCCUAACGUUUCUAAAUUUCUCUUCAAAAAUCAUAAUUUUAAUUAGUAAAAAUAUCGCUUUACAUUAUCUCCACAUAAGCUAUGUGCAUUGAUAUUUGAUACAGUUCUAAAUUUUGAUAGUAAUUUUUAUUAUUUAUCAAUUAUUUUAUUUAUUUAAAAAAAAAAAAAAAAAAAAAAGGGGUGGGGCUGAUUAAAAUACAAGCUGCACGAGGUGGGGGACAAGAUCCCUAUCAAUGAAAUUAUUGAGCCUAUCGCAUACACUUACAAGUUACAACUGCAAGUGGCUCUGGCCAUUUUUCUGUGCAGCAUUCAAGUGGAGGCGUUGAGUUGGCCGCAUGGAGAUGCUAGUAAGCGUGAUCCCAAUCACGCCACGUCGACAAUCAAUAAAAUAUAUCAACAUCAUUAAAUAUCUCAAACAUCAUUUAAUGACUCCAGGUCACAUACAUGUAACAGGGCUUUUUUAUCUUUUAUUAUUAUUAUAGGGCACGGUGGGAAACUAUUUGGGGUGGGUAUUUUUAUAUUGGAUUCCGAUUUACUUCUAAAUUUGGAAUUGCUUUUGGACAUGGCCUUCUACUCUUGAGUAAAACCAUGGUGGUGUUCCGGUCUAAUGGAGUAAUAAAUAAUUUUUCUUACGUGGCGGCAGUGAGGGAAACCCAAGGCCACAAGUGAGUCCAUUUAUAGUGCCACGUCAGACAUAAGAGUCUGGAAAGCUCCAUUCGGUUUAUGCAUUUUUAAAAUUUUUUACCUUUAAUUCUGCGGGAAACUAUGCUUUAAUGCCUGUCACUUCAUUUUGGUGGCCCAACUAACUUGCGAAUGGGCCACAGGCCCAAAAUAAAAUAUCACCCCUAUCCAUUCUACAACCUAUUUAUGUUACUAAACACACAUCUUUUUAUUAUUAUUAUUUUUUAAAAAUUUUGCUUUACAAAAUCACUCUCUAGCCAAAUGCAUCCGUCUUUUAUUUAUUUAUUUAUUUUUUAUAUUUAAUCUUUUCUACUUUAUAACCUCAUUCAAAAUUAUCCUUUAUAAAAAGUAUCCAAAAUUUUCAAUUUCUAAAAUAAAUAUUGGAAUGAUAUAUUUCUCAUUAAUAAAAAUUGAAAUUUUUUAAUAAUAAGUCAUUGUAUUUUUUAAAUUCACACAAAUUUUUAUCUACUUUAAAAUGUAAUAUUUAAUUAAAAGGAGUAGUUAAAAAAUAAAUAGAUAAUGUAAUGAUAAAUUUGGUACGUAAUAAAAAAUAUAAAUUAUGUACUUAAAAUAUAAAUAUUAAAUUUUAAUAAAUUUAUAAGUGGAAUAUAUUUGUUAAAAUAAAUAAUCAUGUUUUUAUAAAUGAUAAAUAGCAAUAAUAUUUUGUUCAAAAUAAUUAUAAAAAUAUCUAAUUUAUUUUUUAAAAUAUGCAAAUAAAUCAUCUUUCUUCGUUAUGCAUCUACUCUUUAAAUACUAUAAUGAUAUUCUAUAUCAGUUUGGGCAAGUAAUAAGUAUAAUUUUGGAGUUCCAAUUUAUUUUUAUAAAUCAUUAGAAUGGUUAAAGAAUUGAAUUUUGUGAUUGGAACCAUACCAAUUUCAACCUUGGUAUACUUGAAGCAAAAUCCACUUAUGUCUUCAAUGUACAAAGUUACAUUCUCAAUAAACAUUUUUUUAUCUCACAUCAUUGGUCCCAUUUCAAAUUAAGUGGGUGUUUAGUAAAUCUAACAUUUAUUACUUAAUAACUUAAGUUGAAUUUAAAUUAAAUUAUUUUUAUGUUAUUAAAUUAAAAUUUAUUACUUAUUUUUUACUUUAAGUACUAAGUUUGUUUGAUAAAAUUAACUUAAAAAUGAUUUUAAGUUAUUAAAUUAAUGCAUUUACCCUUUUUAAUUAUAAUUAAUAUUUAUUUUUAAAAAUUUUAACUAAUAUUUAUUUUCAUUAAUUUUAAGUAAUAAAUUUUUGUAUUAAACAUUCAUACUUAAAAUAUUGUAGGUUUGUAAGAUAAUCUUAAAAUAUUUACUAUAAGAAUUGAGUCAUGUAUGUGGAGUCAUAGUUGUUAAAUAUAUUAUCAUUAGAUGUGAGUAAAUAAGACAAAAAUAAAUAAAUAAAAUUAAAAAUAAGUUAGUUAUUUUGUUGUAAAUUGUGAAAUUAAGUUAUUUUAUCAAACAUGUUUAAUCUAUUUAACAACUUAAAUUGAGUUCUUAAGUUGUUCUGAGUUACCAAAUACCCUCUAACAUUUCUUUUUAUAAAAAUAAAAGAUGGUUCUCACAUGGUAAUCCCAUUGCUAAUGAAGACAUCAUUAGUAUGAAAUAAGAUUUAUUUAGCUUUAAUGGUCAUUUUUUAAGUACGAUGUGGUGCACGGUAUAUAAAUACCUACGAAUUAUGGCUCAUCUCAUGCUUAUCCAAGCUAAUACUAAUAUUUGAAUGCUCUUAAUUUAUUUAAAAUAAAUAUUAUUUAAUAAGUUAAGAAAACAAAAUAUUAUUAAUAUUCGAUUGCUCUAAAUUUAUGAAAAUAUCAAUGGAUCCUUAAUAUUUUCCUUGUGUCCUACCAUUUUGUGUCCAUGUCCUAUAAUUUUGCGUUCAUUUAUAAAGAAUUGAUUAAAAAAAUGAAUGUAAAAAAUGAAAUUUAAACUUUAAAAUUAUAAACAUCCAAAAAUCUUUAGAGCACAAAAGGCAUAAGUUAACUCUAACAUGAUUACGUGGUUUCUAGAUGAAUUUAUAUCUAAUGAAUAAUUGAAUAUGUUGUUUCCAAAAUUUUGGUUACCUUGAUUAAGAGGAAGUUUGAGGGAAAUGCCUUUAAUUUUUUAACCACCCUUUUAAAAAUUUGGACAGCUUAAUGUGGAAACUGUGACCCUAAAAAUGGCCCAUGGACCAGGCCCACCAGGCAAUAUUUGCUUUUGGCAAUCCAAUGAUGGCACCUCAUCAAAUGCCUGACGAAUGGACUGGGCUGCAGUCGAUCGCAUUUUUAAAGGGCCCAAACGGAGCUCUGACAAAGUUUCAAAUCGAGCGAGGUCAUACCGCAUCGAGUCGUAAUAUACAAUCAGUCGAUCACAAUAGGCAUGUUCUACACUUCUACUACUAAUGCCACGAUACUAAUUCUUUUCUUACAUGUCUUUUAAGUUUUAACUAUCUUUGAUGAACCCCCUUUUUCCUUUUAUUAAUUUAUUUAUGUAUUUUUUUCCUUCGUUCACUUUAAUCUUCGGUUCCUCCACUUUACUUUGUUUGGGAGGAAGCAUCUUUUUGCACGACUACUCACGCAAAGUCACGUGGGGGUCUGUUUUUUUCCCAUUUUCUCAUGAUUAUUGAAUAUUUUUAUUUAGAAAUUCGAGACAAAUGUAUUUUGACUAUUUUCUUAAAUAAAACUGAGUCAUAUUUAUAGAGAAAUAAAUAAAAUAAUAAAUUAUUUAAUUAAAAAAAUAUAUUUAUAAUAUAAAAUUGAUCAUUUAAUAGUCUAUUUUGUUAAAGAUGUUACAAAAGUUGACUUAAAAAAUUAUUUUGUUUCGUUUUUAAUUGAAUUUAUAAGUAUUUUUGUUUUAUAGUGUUUUUCAAUUUUUUUUAAAAAUUACAUUUGUAUUCUUAACUAUAAUAAAGUUUUUCGAUCGUCCAAACUUAUCUUAAUAAAAAAUAACAAAAAAAAAAAAAUCUUAUUUAAAUCAAUUUUUUUUAUAUAAACACAAACUACAUGGUCAUUUUAUUUUAUUAAUUAUUUCACUUUAUGAGAAAACAUUAGUGGAUAGUAGGAAUUGAUAUAAUAUAAAUUAAAUUAAUUAAAAAGGAUUAACUUUAUCUAAAAAAUAAUGUUUGGUUUGUCUCCAUGCCAUAAAGGGAGAAAAAAAAUUAUAAAUGAAUUGAAAGAUAAAAAAAAAAAAAAAAAAAAAAGGAUUUUGCAAUCUUCUUAUGGUUGAGUUGACUCGGGUUGAGUCCGACCAUGAAUCGUGAUAUCUAGUUCAGAGUUCAGACACUACACCGAGUCACCGGUUCAAGUUUGUCACACGUGUAGGAGGAGGGGAUGAACCCAUUUAACCAUCACCUAUCGGUGGCUCCAACACUUGCCCAGCUGCUUCGUUUCCUUUUCCUCCAAGUCUCAUUUCGUUUCUCCCUUUCAAAGAUUUUCUCUCAUUAGAAAACGGCGAGAGAAGGAACGGCGUUGACGAGUUCCGAUCUGUGCAAGAGGAGCUCAGUCGUGGUCGUGGUCCAUGGAGUCUGCAAUAUCGGAGAGGCAGGAGCUUGCGAAGCUCUGCAGCUGUCGCGACUGGUCCAAGGCCAUUCGUGUUCUCGAUUCUCUCCUUGCGCAGUCAUGCGUCAUCCAAGACAUCUGGUGCGAGCUCACUUCUCAAUUUCUCUAAUCCUGGCUGCAUUUGAUAUUCAAUUUCUGCGAUUUGAUUGAUCCUCAACUGCAAAUGUGUGUGUUCUUGGUUGCAGCAAUAGAGCCUUCUGUUACAGUAAAUUGGAGUUGCACAAGCAUGUGAUUAGGGACUGUGACAAGGCGCUUCAGCUUGAACCCACGCUACUUCAAGCAUACAUCCUCAAAGGUUUGUCUCUUCAAAUCUUUACUGCUUUUCUCUGUGUUUUCGUAUCUCAUGGUUUGAUUUCUUUGUUUUUAGAAUCUGAAUGGUGGUAGUGGGAGCCAUUCGUCUUGGGUUCUAUGUUAGCGGAAUUGUGAUAUUUUCUACUUUGUUAAUUAGUUCAGUAGUUGCAUUUUCAAUUAGUUGUGGUAUAGUAUGGUAGAGUAAGUUGUUCAACCUAAUUAUAACGAUUAAGAAAAUUAUGGAGAAAAAUAUCUUGGGGCUUGGAUCACUGGCUGAGUAUAGGUGAUAUUUAGGACUUUCAACCUAUUCUUGGUGUUGAACUUUUUAUUCAUGCUGCAAAGGUUCGGGAGAAAGUGAUCGGAUGGAGUAAUACAUGAAGUGAAAUUAUAGAAAAUUAAUUAUGUUUCCUGCUAGGGGGAUCAACAAUAAAAGUUAUUUUCUUUCUUUAAGUGUAUUGUUUUCAGAGGUUUAGAGAAAAGAAGAAAAACCUAGGUAUUUUUGUUUAAAAAUAAAUAUAAAUUGUUUAGUGCAGCCCUUUUUUUGAUAGGUAUAUAAAAAAUAUUAAAAAUUGCCAUCAAACAAAGGGAGUGCUCCCUAUGUACACAGGUGUAUACAAGAGGCACCGUUAAAACAAAAAAAUAAAAGGGUAACACCAGGACAAAACAGCAAAAAGCUCUGGUAUUCAUAACUUAGGAUAUUGAUCAAAUCCAACAUAGAACAGUUUCCCCACCCCAAUGGGGCUUUAGACCAUUCCAAAAGAGACUUAAUAAGAAUUUGCUACAACAUUCGGUCAGGGAGUUGUUGAAGAUCCUUCUAUUUGGCUCUUGUCACAAGCGCUAAAAUAAGCAAAGGGGAGCCACACUUCGGACCUUAUUUUGCCUUUUAUCCAAGCUUCUAGCCCAAAAGAAGCUCUUUCACAGAAGUUGGAAAAAUCCACUGUAACUGAAAAAUUACUAAUGAUGUGUCCCAAAACUUUUGAGCUCUAUCACAAUGAAUAGGGAUGGAAUUUGUGGAUUUCUUAUUGAUUUUACAAAGAUGUCAUCUAUUUAUCAUUGACUACUUGAUAAGUACAUCAAUGGUGAGCAUCUUUCCCCACACCGCUUCCCAAGUGAAAAAGUAGGUCCUCAAAAGGGGCACAAGUACCCCAAAUUUCUUUGGCAAGGAGCAGGACCAGAUUCUUAUUACAAGGAAUUGUAGAAGGAUUUCACCCUUAAAGUUUUCCUCUCCUCCUCCUCCAAAAUAAAGUAUCCCCUUAUUGUCACCAGGUACUAGCACAUAUUCAAAGGGAUAUCAGAAGCUAGCUAUUAUUUGGGCAUAUCUUGCAUCUACUAAAGCGACACUUUGGAUUAGACUCUCAUCAUUUUGUUCAUAAAUUGUUCAAUUGAUGUACGUAUUGUGAAAUUAAUCCUUGAUCAAUCUAAUUUACAACAGCUGGGAACUUAUCGCUUGUAUCAUGGUUCUGAUCCCUAGUUUAUACAACGGUGCUUCAUGUCUGCAUGCACGUUGUUCUGCUUCUUUAAUACUUUGGUUAACUUCAUCUGCAUCAUGAGGUUGUUUUGCAUGAUGCUUUGAAUUCUUGUUCACUGAAUAAGAAAGUUUUUUUGCUUCUUCUUGGUUGAAGACCAAGAUUCUACCAUCAUUGUUUAUUAUGCAUUUUUUUGCUCAUUAAUUUAUUUUCAUCCUCUCUCGUCUUUUUACAUGAUUUCUCUCUUGAUGGUGAUGCUGUUUGGUUUCUUAAUUCUGUAAGCAAGAGUGGUGAAGAGUUGCCAUGGAUAACAUGAUGUGCAUCAUACAAAAAAACAAUAUUAGGGCUUGAUUUUUCUGUAAUUUAGAUGGUUACUUGCUGAAAUUAUACUGCUGAGUGUAGAUAUACUAUUCCAACAGAAAAAGAUAGAAUCUGAAAAUUUGCAAAAAAAAUGAGGUGCUUCUACUGAGGAAAGUAAACAUUAAAAAUAUAAAAGGGAAAAUUGAGACAUGAUUAUGCAAGCAUGUUGCUUGCUUAAACAAGAAAAGUAUAAUGUGGUGAGGAUUUCAGUUGUGGGAUGAUUUGGUCAGAUGAGAUCUAUUCCUGUGGCUUAUGCAACUGAUAAAGGUUAUUAUAAUGAUCAAGGUAAAUCUGUGAAAAUAUGAAUUCUUCAUUAUUUCAUUUGGCUGAUUCUUUCUAUGAUUCCAUAUAAGGAAACCCCCUUUCUUUGUUGAAGAAAAAAUUGCAGCUAAGCUAGAGAAUGAAUUAGUUACUUUGUGGGGGCUUAUGCUUUCUCUUAUAACUCACUCUGGUACUUUAUGUGGUCUAGGUCAUGCACUUUCUGCUUUGGGAAAGAAAGAGGAUGCUCUUCUGGUUUGGGAGCAAGGGUAUGGCCAUGCUGUUCGUCAAUCUGCUGAUUUGAAGCAAUUUCUAGAGCUGGAAGAGCUUCUGAAACAAAACAGAAGAAUCACUUGUGAAAACCAUGCCAUGGAGUCACCUGAGUCAUCCAUAUCUGUAUCUGAAUCAGCUCUUCAUGUCAAUGAGAAACCAAAUUCAACUCAUAAAAAUGAUAGUAAAUUGAAUGAUGAGUCUGAAUUAUGCAGUGAAUCGAGUGAUACAUCUGAGAUCCACUGCAAACCAAAUUCAACUCAUAAAAAUGAUAGUAAAUUGAAUGAUGAGUCUGAAUUAUGCAGUGAAUCGAGUGAUACAUCUGAGAUCCACUGCAAAGCUUUUGAUACAUCUGAUGGCCAUGAUGAAUUAAGAGAUACAGUGAAUGGGAAUGAGAAAUUGAAUAGUGAAUCAAAUGGAACUUAUGACAUCUUUGUUAAAUCAAGUGAUGAGUCUGAGUUAUGUAGCGAGUUAAAUGAUACAUCUGAACAAAGCAGUAAAUCAUCUGUUGUGAUUCACAGCAAAUCAAGUGAUAUAUCUGAGGUUCGCCGAAAAUCAAGUAAUAAAUAUGAUAUACGCAGUGAAUUAGGCGAUGAAGCCAACAGGAAUAAAAAGUUCUGUGUUACUAGGAUUUCAAAGACCAAGUCAAUAAGUGUAGAUUUCCGAUUAUCAAGGGGAAUAGCACAAGUAUGUUUCAACUCUUCACUCAGCAUUGCUUUUCCCUGAUUUAUUAUUAUCCAUAUAUGCGAUUCUCAUAUUCAAGUUUUGUCAUGAUAUAGUUUUAAUUGAACUUCAUCAGAAAGGGAGCAUUCUUCUUUUUUGGCUUCAUGUAUAUCUAUAGAUUGCAAUUAUUGUUUAUUCUUUUUUUGUUGUAUGUCUUAAAUGAAUUAUUAUAUUUCAACAUCAUGAUCUACUUCAUUUGCAGGUAAAUGAAGGAAAUUAUUCCAAUGCCAUAUCCAUUUUUGAUCAGGUUAUACUUCUUCCAACCUUAUUAGUUAUCCUCAUGGUCUUCUAGUGCUUUACGAUUGGUCUUCAUGGUUCUUUUUUUAAUUAUUAUUUUGUUACAUUCUAUUAUUUAUUUUAUUUUGUUGUCUUUCUGUUUCUUUUGGGUGGGGAUGGGGUUGAGGGGUUGUGAGUGUCAUGGGCCUAUUUCCAAGUUUCAUGAAACAUUGGCUUUUCUGUAUAUUAUAUGUGCAGAUACUGAAAGAGGAUCCUACUUAUCCUGAGGCACUAGUGGGAAGAGGAACUGCAUAUGCAUUUCAACGUGAACUAAGUUCUGCCAUUGCUGAUUUUACAAAGGUACUUAAAGCUCCCAAUCCAAACAAGUGUCGAAAAUAUUGCAACUUCUAGUUAAAUGUCAUUUCUAAUAUUUUGUGUUUUAGGCUAUUGAAUCAAACCCAUCUGCUUGUGAGGCAUGGAAGCGGAGAGGCCAGGCCCGAGCUGCCUUAGGGGAAUCAUCUGAGGUUAGAGCAGUUUUUCCUAAAAUUUUAAUUUUAUUGUUGUUGAGUAUGCUACAAUUAUAUGUAAACAUUGGGCCCUUGAGGCUUGGCUCAAGUGGUAAAGAGUUGGGAGGGUUUGUGGAAGGUUCUAGGUUCAAGUUUCAAUGGGGACAAAAUUUAACUAUACACACACUGGCCUGUAAAUAUUGGACAUUUUCAAAAUUUAUGAAGUAUUAUUAGGAAUGUGUUAGAGGAUGCAUAUCUGAUCAGAGCUGAAAUUGGUGUUGUUUUGAUCCUUCUUCCUCAUGGUUAAUGUUAUACCUAUUCUUGCAACACUUGCAUAUUUGUGCUAUUGAAUCAAAUCUAUCCUAAAACUUUUUAAAAUCCAAGUCUUAUGAAAUUCCCAUUUAAUAUAUAUCUCAAUGCAUGAAGUUAUUGAAGUUAUUGAUGCUUGUUAUUGUGCACACAUCCUACCUACAUGUGUUGUAUAUUUGAUUCUCUUUUGUUAACAGGCCAUUGAAGAUUUGACCAAGGCAUUAGAGUUUGAGCCGAAUUCCACAGAUAUUCUGCAUGAAAGGGGUAGCUUUCUUAGUCUCUUCUCUUUUGUUAUUCUUCUUUAGGACACUCUUUUUUCUUUGUUUUGUAUAUACCUAAAUUCAUGACCCGGCUUCUUCUAUUUAAUUUCAUUUUAUACGUAUGGAUGGAGGAUGUAACCCUAGAUAGAGGUAAUGAAGUAAUAGUUGCAAUUUGAAAUUUUGUUGAGUGGAAAGAAUUAUUCGAAAUACUAUUGAUGAUUAUCACCAUAUUCCUAUAGUUUCAGACUUGAGGGCUCUAAAGACAGUUGCAGUUGAUGGUACCCUUUAGAAAUUGUUGGUAGUGUCAGUGAAUGAAAUUAAAAAGUUAGGCAAUGUUAAUAACUUGAAUAUGUAGUUAUUCUAUAGUACAUCAUAAAAAAAAAAGUGUGAUUGGAGGGUGCUGAGGCAAUUGCAUCACCUUGACAUCACCGAUAACUUGCAAUUCUAAUUCAUAAAUAUCUAGUAAUAUUAAAAUAUCAGUCAACUUAUGGGUAUCAAAUAAAAAUAUAGUGAUUGUUCUAUGAAAUACGAGUGACCAUUAGGAUCCGAAUUAAUGCAGGAAUUGUUAAUUUCAAGUUCAAGGAUUUUAAUGCUGCUGUUGAAGACCUCUCUGCAUGUGUGCAGCUUGAUAAGGAGAACAAGUCAGCAUACACAUAUUUGGUGAGUCCACAAGACCUGGAACUUAACUAAUUCUGGAGUCUAGUAGAAGUUUUCAAAAUUUCUUUUUGAGGCAUUUUUUUUUUUAAUAAAUUGUUGAUUUAGAAAAUUUUGAAUCUGAUAGGGUUUGGCUUUAUCUUCAAUUGGCGAAUAUAAAAGGGCUGAGGAGGCACAUAUGAAAUCAAUUCAACUUGAUCAGAAUUUCCUUGAGGGAUGGGCUCAUCUAACUCAGGUAUCCAUGAACUACUACUCAAUUGAUUUUUAAAUUGAAAGAAGUUGAAAUUCAUUGUAUGGAAAAAAUACACUAAUUUCAAUGCUGAACUAUGAGGUUGAUCAAUGGAAAUUCAGUGCUGAUCAAAUAAAAGAUUCAUUAAACUGUUUGGAACAAAUUAACUAAACAUAUAUGGGGUGGAACAACUGGUUUCUGUAGCUUGAACUAUCCAGGGUUGACAUUCAGUUGCUUCAAUGGCUACUUAUACAAAUUGCAAAGUCAACCUCGGCUCUUCUUGACUAUUGGCACUUAAAGAUCCUGUCAGGUCUGGUCCUGGAAUUGAAUGGGAAUGCAAAAUAUGCAUUACAAAUUGUCAAUUUGAUCAAGUCUUGUAGAAUUUAAGUUAUCAAUAAAGAACUAUCUGGGCUUGACAUUUAGUUGCUUCAAGAGCUACUUAUAUAAAUUGCAAGGUCAACCUUGGCUCUUCUUGACUAUUGGCACUUAAGAUUUGUCAGGUCUGGUCCUGGAAUUGAAUGGGACUGCAGAAUAUGUAUUAGAAGUUGUCUAGUUGAUCAAGUCUUGUAGAAUUUAAAUUAUCAAUAAAGAACUACAAGUAUUGGGUUUUUAUUUAUUUAUUAUUAUUUAUAUGGCAAUAUUAUUGCUCAACAUUGCGGAUCAGGCUGGUUAGUGCUUAAAAAUUGGCAAAUUUGGUCGCUCAUAAUGCCAUAGCACAGUUGAGAAUUUUUUGGGUUACAUGCACCUUUACUAUUGCAACAUUAGAUGUGCUGGUAUUGGCCAUUUGUACCAGGUUGUUUCCUUAUGCACUCAGUAUGUGGUUUGUUUGGGUGACAUGCAUGACCCCACUGCAUCAGUUAAUGCCAUUGAUAUGCUGCAGAUUGUUGGAUUUUUUUGGUCUGUUCUGAUGUAAAAUCUGAGGCUACCCGUCAAAAAACUUUUGACUUAGUAAAUAUGUGUUAUCACUAAAGGUUUGGAACCGUGUUAUGAUUAAUUCUAGCCAUCAUUUAUAAGUUUGGAACCACCAUAUAAUUAAUUAUGCGCAUCAUUCAUCUUUCGAUUAUUCCCGAUGCAUGGUCAAUGAGCUUCCUGUUUUUUUAGUAUAGUUAUCAUUGUCACCAUUGUCAUCAUUUAUAUCACAUGAUGAAGUUCCAUCAAGAGAAUAUUGGGAAGGCAUUGCAUUAGCUUUUGAAAAACUAUAAAAUUUUAUGAGAAAUGUGUGAAUUAUUCAAUUUAUAGUAUCAAUUCUAUGUAUCAACUAGUUUUUUUUAAGUGCUUUGUGUUGAAUUUGUGACAGUUCUAUCAAGAUUUGGCAAAUCCAACAAAGGCUUUAGAAUGCAUUGAACGAGUAUUACAAAUUGAUGAGGGGUAAAUUCUGUGGAUUCAUACAAUAUCGUUCAUGAUAUAAUUUAAUUUGUGCUGCAUAUAUGGUGCUCUGUUGCAACUGUGACACUCCAUACUUCGAAAACUUUCCAUGUAAGAUAUAAUUGCUUUCUCUAUUGCCUUCUAAAAUAGGUUUGCCAAAGCAUAUCACCUGCGUGGACUACUUCGUCAUGGCAUGGGAGAACACAAGUAACUUUCUAUCAACUUGAUAUUUUAUUAUAAGGAUUUUUUUUUUUUUAAAUAAUUUUGUUCAAACUAGUAAUUGCUCAAUCAAAUCUUUGUGCUACCUUGUGAGCCAUUUAUGUUAUUGGCCACUGGAAGAAUCCUUGAGUUUAAAAUGGUAUCGCAAAGCAGAUAGAGAAGCAUUUCUGUAUUUGUGGGGAAGGGCUUGGUCAAGGGUUUGUUGAAGUUAAUAAUGAUGGUCAUGCUAUUUGUGUUAAGUUUCUAGUCAGCAAGGAGGUUCUUUUAGGAAAAGAAGUAGGGGAGAAAAAAUACAAAUGGAAUAAGCCAACACUCAGUUUAAGGUGGCAUGGUGCUAACCCGUUCUUCAAGUGUGAAAGCAUCCUUCUUAACUAAAAUUUCUACUUCCCAAUUCCUGGGUCUAGGUUAUGAAAAGAGAACAAAAUCUGGAAACAAAUCAGUAAUCUCAUUUUAGACAUAUUGAAAUCGUCAAAGGCCCAUAGAAAUGCACUAUCUACUCUUUGUAUGUGCAAAGUCAACAUAUUUUUAACCUUCAAUGAAUUUCUUUUUUCUUUAUUAGGUUAUUUCUCCACCAGUAAUGAGUUUUUUCUUUUUUCUUUUUUCUUUUUAAUUGCCUGAAUUGAGUUUUUGGCAGGAAAGCUAUCACGGAUUUAUCAAUUGGGUUAGGCAUUGAGAACUCAAACAUUGAGUGUUUGUAUCUAAGAGCUUCCUGCUACCAUGCUAUUGGAGAAUAUGGAGAAGCGGUAUUGAGAAGUUUUCUUUUUCUUAUUUUUCCUAUUUUUUAGGGGUGGGGGAGGGUUGGGUUAAAAUAUGGUGCAACAUUUUUAUUGCCCUUUUCCUGCAUUUUCUGAAAUGGAUUUUUUUCUUCUUCUUUUUUUUUUUUUUGGCAUCAGAUUAAGGACUAUGAUAAGGCUUUGACGUUGGAACUAGACUCAAUGGAAAAAUUUGUGCUCCAAUGCCUGGCUUUCUAUCAGGUUUGAAUUGUAGAUGGAAUAUAUUUUGUUAGACAUGAGUAACUUACUCAACUCAGAAAAGGCCUUUAUUUUCAGUACUUGAGAUUGGAUACAUGUAUCCUUUUUUACCAUCCAAGUCUAUUUUGAGCCAUAACCCUCAUUAAAUCCUUAGCUAUCAUGUCGUUUGUCAUUGUCUCUUUCCAAAGCAUGUCGUUUUUAAGCCAUGGUGGGCUAUUUUUAUUAAUUUUUUUAUACUUAGACUCAAUGUUUUUAGUCGAAAUUGCAUGCCUCAAACUAAUCAUCUUCCUUGAUUCCCAAAUCAAUUCAGAUUUCUGCUCAAACAAUUGGUAACUGGAAAAGUCAUCUUUUGACAACAUGCAAGUAAAUAAUUGGUUGUUUAGCAGUAUUAACAUUGUUUAAUAUUUAUUCUCUACGUUUAUGUGUCUUUGUCUAUAUUGAAAUGCAUGGUCACACAAAUUCACACUCAAAGGUUAAAUUUUUUUUUGAUUGGGACAUAACAGUUUAUGAUGUAUAGGUUAACAUUGAAUUCAUUCCUACUGUGAGUUGUUCCUGAAUAAUAGCAUCAAUGUGUGAUUUUUCUGCAAGUAAGACUGAUCCAAUCACUAAGCCAUUUAGGCAGUCACCUAAAAUCUAAGUAUUCUAAGUUAAUUUCUAUUAUUGUAAAAAUGUGUUGGUUGACUAUUUAUCCAAUUGGGAAGAUGAGAGAUCAAAUACUGGCUUCUAAAAAUAAUGGAAUGAAACUUGAGAACUUGUUUCUUUGGAAAAAUAUUAAAUGGUAAUUAGAAAAAAAUGAAUAAAAAAUUCAAAUCGAAAAAGAAUGAUGGAUAAAUUAUUUCAUAUUAUUUUUACCUUAAAAUGGAACUCUAGAUAAAUUAAUUUUAUUUCAAAAUUAACUUGCACUUAAAAGGGCUUCAUUUGGAUAUUUUUCUUUAGGCCUCUUGAUUUAUGUUGCUCUUGUUUUGCUUGCUUGCUUGCGAUUUACAUUUUUGCCUUUAUUUGUGCCACUAUUAUUGUGAAUUUGUUUUGCCUUUCUUGGAAGAAUAUGGCUGUGCUUAGUAAUAGUGGCGCACCCAUAAUCUUUGGCUGGGUUUUAUAAAAAUCGUUUGCAAUAUAAGCAGGAUUUUUAUCUAAAUUUUAUUUCAAAUAGAUGUCAACUUUUUUUGAUGGAAUUGUAUGUAAUGUGAUUUUCCUUUGAAACAGAAUUGCUAUUUUAAAGCCCCUUCUGUUAGACGCCUCUAAACAAAUGAUUAAUUUGCCUAUAAAAAGAAAAAAAAAUCCAGUUCUAAAACUGAACUGUCUCAUGUAAUUUGACUUGCCAAUUUUUUUGCAGCCAUCGUUUUAGUGAUGGGCUAGCUGUGCUCCCCUUUUUGCCAUUCCCUUUAUCUGGUCUUGAUUGCUAGCAUCUGAUUCCAUUGUCAUAGUAAUGCAAAUGUUUGCAUCAAAUCCCUAGUUUCCAUGCCAUGCCUUGUCAAGUCUACUAUCCGUUUCCAGUUGUAAUUUUCAAGUUUCUUCUAGCUUGUUCAUGGUUCAAUGGCUUUGAACACUGACAAAACUUGACCUGAUCCACAAAAACUAGCAUUAUCUACAAGUUAGCCUCAAGUCUGCAUGAGCAUGACAUUCCUUUCCUAUAGAAUAUAAGAAAAUAUCCCCAACUUGAACUCAAGUUGAGCAAACCUCACCUGGUUACUUUUGGUAUUAUGUUGUGUAGAAGAAGAGAGGUGGAAGGAAUACAAGGUAUAAAAUUCUUUUCCUUGAUUUUUAGUCUGUAUAGAGGCUCACAUAUAUAUGUAUAUAUAUACAAAAAUUCCUACCAUCAAAAUUAGGAACUGGAACUAAAUUAUAUUAGAUCCUUUUUAUUAUGGAAUGGCCUAAUUCUCUCCUCAAUUAAAAAUCACGACUUUCUUAAUUUCACUUUUCCACACUCCCUCUCAAGUUGGUGAAUAGAUGUUUUCCAUUCCUAGUUUGGAUAUACUUGCUUGAAAUCAAGGACGAAAAUAUUGCAAUGUCACUGAUAUUUCGCCAAAAUAUUGAGUAUUGGGCAGUCCCGACAUGUUAUAUGGGAUGAAAUAUCCAGAGUCUGAUUUUUCUACCCAUUUUUUGCCAAUUUAUCGGUGAUAUUAUGGUAUUUUCUCAAUAUUUUGGGAAUAUCGCUGAAAAAUCGGCGUCACCUUAGCACUCCCUUCAAUGUCAAAACUUCAGGAACAUAGCAAUGUGAGCCAAGCAGCCCAAUAUGGGGCUGCCUAGCCCAUUCUUCACAUGUGACCGAUAGAGGAGCACUCCCUCCUUAGAUAUAGCUAUAUUUUGUUCCCCGUUUUCAAUGUGGGAUUCAUUUUCACAAUGAUAUUUAAAAAUCAUAAAUCCAAACAUGUUGCUACUAGGAUUUGAACCGUGGUCCAAACACUUAAUUUUUGUUUUUCCACUAUUUUUUGUUACAAGAUUUUGCAUUUCUUGAACCUCUUCAUAUUUCGGCACAUCCCCCUUAGAGUGUGACACAUUAGGAUCAUAUAGAUGUUCAUAUUUAUAAGCUUCUUGAGCUGUUUUUUUUUUUUUUUUUCUAUUUCACAAACUUCUGCAAAGAAUUUUCCAUCUGAAAUCUAUCAUCAGAAGGAAUCGAUUUACAUGGUUCAAUAUCUUCUUUCACUCCAGCAAGGUGUUGUUUCAUCCUAUGAAUUCCCCCACUUUGUAACUUUUUUGCAAUACAAACAAAUGAGAGCUUUCCUUUCAUUAGCAUAUCUUUAUUCAAAAACAUGCUUUUAUGCAGGGUCAGUCUUACCUCUAAUUCAUUGUGAAUUUGCGGUUGAAUUUGGAGUAGAGGUUGGAGUUAAGUUUGAUUCCAUUUUUCUAUCAAAUUGUUAAAAAAAAAAAAAAAACUAACAAUUUUAAUCAAUAUUCAAAAAUAUUAUCAACAAUUGCAUUGAUACUUAUUAUAAAUUAAAAAACUUCUAGCUAAGCUUCAUUCAUUAAAAAUCUAAGAUUUACAAUACUGAUAAGUGAUUACAGACUUUCCAUUUCAAAUUACAAACUUUCUAUCAAAUAUUUUAUGCAACAAAAUUUAUAUGAUAAUUCAUAAUUGAUAAUUGAAAUUAGGAAUUCAAAAUAUUAGAAAUUUAAAGAAUCAGAUUUUUUUUUUAAAUAAAAAAUAUAUUUGAUAAUAAAAAAUUUAUUUGAAAAUCAUAUAUUUAUCCUAAAAUAAAAAAUUUUAAAAUUUAUUUUUAAGUCAAAAACUUCUUUUAAAUCAAAAAUUUAUUUUAAGAUAAGAAAUUUAUUUUUAAAUGAAUAAAAUGAUUCAAAUCAAAAUUCAAAAAUUUAAAAAUUAAAAUCAUAAAUAUAAAAUCACAUAUUUGAAAAUCAAAAUUUAAAAAAUUAGAAAUUAAAAAUGAUACAAAAUAACAAAUAUCAAAUGAAAUAAUUAAAUAAAUCAAACGGAUUAAUGAUAAAUAAUUAAAUAUUGAACGAGGGAGGCCGGAGAGCACUUGUUAUCGGUGGAGUUGUCGAUGUCAGCGCCAACAUGAGCCUAUUGUGCUGGUUGGAGGUGCUGUCGUGCUGGAGAAAGGGGGGGGGGGGGGGGUGGACUACUGAGGAAGCCUGCUGGUGUUGAAGAGGAGAGGAGUGGCUAGGCUGGUCGUGAGAGGGAGGGUAGAUGGGAGUUAGGGGUUGAAAGUGGAACAUUUAUACCCAGAGGAAAUGACGUUGUUUCAAUGCAAAAUGCAUUAAAAUGACGUCAUUUUGGAUUGAUAAUAAUAAUAAUAAUAAUAAUCAACAAACCGUUCAGUUCAUGGAGAAUCGUCUAGUUCAUUGGUUCCGUUGGUUUGUAGAUGGUUCAAUAGCCAAACAGUUUAAUAGGGUUGACCAGAUCGGUUUGAUCGCCGAUUGGCAGUCGGAUCCACCGGCGUGGUUUGGUUUUUAAAACAUUGUAAAAAGUCAUAUUACAACCCAAAUCUUGUGUAAGCUUUUAUAUAGAGACAAGAUUAGUGGACAACUUUGGAACAUGAAACACAUUUCUAAGUGUGAGUGUAAGAUCAAUUUGGAGAUCUCCUACACUUGCCUUAGUGGUUAAUGAACCAUUCGCUGUGGCUAUUUUCCUAUUGCUUGGACAAGGGUUAUAGUUGUUAAUUUGAUGUGAUGAAUGAGUCAUGUGAUUUGUGACACUUGAAUUUAUAACCUAAGAAUAGACAAAGGUUUCAUCUAAGACUUUAAUCUAAUGGAUAUAGGAAACUUACCUAAAAGUGCUAAUGAGCAGGUACCUAAAGGUUUCUCAAGAGUUCCCAACAAAGCUCCCAGUUUUUCAAUCUCCUCUUAAUUGAUUCUGCCUUGUUCCAAGGAUUUUUCUUCAAUUGGUUGAACAAGAGACAAGUGUGCUUGCUCAUUAUCUCUCCAUUGUCGUCUAUUGUAACCCCACUCUUUGUUAGAUGUGGUUGGCUUACCAUGGAGUUUCCAACAUUUCUCCCGUGUAUGUCUAGUGUUUUGACAAGAAGUGCACCAUAAGUUAUCCCUAUUAUCACAGUUUGAAUCCCUUGACCGAUCACUCCUUUUGUUAUCAGUAGUGCUAGCCAUCUAAUCAUUGCCCUUGUUAGCAACCAUAGAUGAGCCUUCUAUAUUAUGAGGUUCAAGUAUGACAUUUUUCUUGCUUUCUUUUGCUCGGAUAAUAGAGAUAGUCUUUUUCAAAGUUGGAAGCUUUUUGCUAAGUAUUUGAACUCUAACUUGGUCAAACUCAACAUUGAGACCAACUAAGAAAUCGUAUAUUUGAUCUUUUUUUUAUAUAAUUUUUUUUUUAUAAGGAAAGUAUUAUAUUACGGGGAGAUGGUAAAAUAGUGACUCAAAAUGUACAAGAUAGAAAGGGAAAUACUCACUCCCUAACAGGAGAAACAAAAAACUGUCCACAAUGAUAUUAAAAAAAAACAGCACUUCCCUUAAUGGGAACCCACCCAAUCAAUAAACUCCAAAAAGGUCGAAGGACCAUAUUUUAUAAACAGUUUAGUCUCCUGUCAAAGUUAAGAAAAGAAGUUUUCAGCCUUUGGCUAGAUAACACCUCAUCUUCAAAGGAAAUCCUAUUCCUUGUCUUCCAAAUUGUCCAAAAAAUGCAAAGGGGACCCGCUUUCCAAACUAUCUUAUGCCUUUUUCCCAUAAAGAAUCCGUUCCAACCCAAUAGGGUUUCCUUAACCGAAGAUAGAAACACCCAAGACACUCCAAAAAGAGUGAAAAACAUCUCCCACAAAGCCCUUAUCUUCCCAUAGUGAAGAAGAAGAUGGUCAAUGGAUUUCUUUUCUGCUUGACAAAAAUAACAUCUAUUUGCUAAGACCUGACCUCUCUUUUUAACUUGGUUGAAGGUUAGAACUUUGCCCCAAGAUGUCUCCCAAGCGAAGAAACUUACUUUUGACUUCACACAUGAUUUCCAAAUGUUCUUCAUCAGAACUAAAACUGAAGAGCUACUUUUGACUGCACACAUGAUUUCCAAAUGUUCAUCGGAAAUAAAACUGAAGAGCCCGACUCUAGAGCUUUGUAUAAUUCUUUUUUUAUAUAAUUCUUCAAGAUUGUUGCAUCCUUAAGACAUUUUGUCUCAAUGCAUUGAUAGUAAUCAAGUUCUUACCAUAGAUUUUUCAACAUAUUGGCAUACUCCUUGAUUGCCUUGUUUCCCUGUUUUGUUGCUCCAAUCUUAACUUUUAUUUCAUACACUUGGGUUGCAUCUAGAGCUUUCGAGUCUAUCCUGUGAAGUGCAUUCCAAAUGUCUUUAGCAGUUGUCAGAAAUAUACAUGUAUCACUGAUUUCAAGUGUCAUUGAGUUCCACAACCAUGCCAUAAUCAUUGAGUUUUGCUCAUCCCAUGCAUCAAAUCGCGGGUCUCAUUUCCUUAGUCUAAUUCCCAGAAGAUGACCGAGUUUCCCUUUUUCUUUUAGAAAGGUAUGAACAAGUUGUGAUCAUUUUAAGCAAUUAUUCCCAUUAAGUCUGUAUGUUGUUUGAACAUUCUGUAAUUCUCUUAUGUUGUGACUGGUUAUCACUCCCUCAUAAUGAGCAGUGACAACGGUAGUUUUUGAUACCUUCGACUUUUUUUUUUUUUUUUUUUUUUUAAAGAAUUAUAAAAAGGGCUAAGAUUAAAGGCAGAAAGGAUUAGACCAACCAAAAAUAAAAAAUAGAAAAUAUGCAGAGUAUGGGAACUUAGCUGUCGACAUGGCUUGUGGUGAUCGAAACUUCAAAGCUCGUGAUUUUGUUGACCGUGAAGGGAAGUUGUAGAGAACUAAUGCAAGACACAAUCCUUUAUUGCUUCCGACAGAGCAAGAAGGAUUGUCGUCACCGUCAGAGACUCAAAUCAUGUGAGAGAAAGAUCAACGAUGCCGAAGAAGACAAGCAAAGUCGAGGUAGCUAGGGCUUGUAUGAGUACUAUUGAGUCCAUUUGCAAAUAACACAAGGCUUGCAAGAAGGAAGAUCUAUACUGGUACAAAGCAGAGGGUGCAAUCAUGGUUUUGGGAUGAGUUCACAAGGACAUCAAUGUGAGGACGAUGAUUGAGGUCUUUGGUUGCUGAGUUCGCGAUGUGGGUUUACAGCGUCAGAACAAGGUUUACAACAAUGGCGUGACUCAAAUGAGAGGGAAACCUUAGGGUCGACAGUGAAGGUUGACUAUGAUCUUCAACUCGACAAUGAAAGCCGAAAAAAAAUCACUUUUUUUCCAAAUUUAAGAGCCUAAUGCUUUAAUACCAUGUAGAAAAAAAGAAAUGAAAGAGAUACAAGAUAUCAAAUUCUUUUCCUUGAUUUUUAACCUAUACAUAAACUUACAUAUAUAUAAAAAAAAUUCAUAACACCAAAAUUAGGAACUUUCCUAACUUAAUUACAUUAGAUCCCUUUGAUUACAGGAUUGCCUAAUUCUUUCCUCAAUUACAAAAUCAUGACUUUCGUAAUUUCAUUCUUCCACAGAUUGAAUGUUUGCCCUAGUCUAUCAGAUUGAUGGUUUGGCAAUAUGCUUACAAAGCAUUCUAAGUGAUUUAUUUGCAUCAUCUUGCACAAACAUGCAUAUGACUAUUGAGUUUGGCAUAUGUCUACACAACGUAAUAAGGCUCUCCAGCUUGAAUUGGUUAGAGUUAUUACUGUACAAAUUAUCGAAAUUGUCAUGGAAGAAAGUAGUAAGUAUGGUGGAGAAAAACAUCUCCAUUAUGCACAAAUAAAAAAUAAAAAAAAUGGUUUUGUUGCAAUGCAUUUUUAAUAUUAUUAAGUAUUUGUUUCUUUGUUUUUAAAGUUAUAUUUCUCUACUAUCCACCUUGAUGGACCAGAACCAAAAACAAACAUUAUAGAAAGUAUAGUGAAGAUAGUAAAUACUUGGGGUGUUGAAUGGCAAGAAGAGUAUCCUUGAGAAAUUGGUGGAGGCACUCCUCCAUAAUGCUACUCAUAUUUUUUGCUAAUGCAGAAAUGGGAACCUAGGUGUUAAUGCAUUAGGGAAAGCUAGUAAAUUCCCACCUUAAAUUAACAAAUAUGGCUCUUCUGUUUUGUGGAUGUUAUUUUGAUUUGUAUUUCCCCACAUCCUUCUUUACCUGAUAGGUGACCUUUUCUUCUUCUUCCUCUUCUUCUUCUUCUCUCUCGCUCUCUCUCUCUUAGGGUUUGGGCUUGUGGACUCAAACUAUAGAACUUCACCAUCCACACCUCAAUUUCUUCUCAUAUGAGUUAGGCCUUAGGGACAUUUCCCUUCUUCUUUCUUUUUCACUUUCUUUUCUUCUUUGUGCACGCAUGUGUCCCUUUGGUGUUUUCUUUGGUUCCAAGUGAGAUGGUGUUGGAUGUAUUGGAAAGUAUGAUAUACAUUGUGAGCUCAAAUCCUAUUAGCUUAAACUUUUAGGAAAAUUGGUUAGGUCAAUUGAAGGUCUCGUGUUUAAGUCCUUCCCAUAUCAAUUUAUUUAUCAAAAAUGUGAUUUGUUUGCCAUUAAUGUAGUUUGGGUUGCAAGGUGGGGAAAAUUCCUUCUUUUUACCUAGGGUUGCCUUUGGGUGCAAAUUUGAAGCAAUAUGGGACGAAGUGGAGGAGAACUUUCGUAGAAGACUUUUGAUGUAGAAAAGACAAUACAUCUCAAAGAAGGAGGGGCUUCCUUUGAUUAGAAGUACUUUGUUGAUCUUGUCAAUCUACUUCAUGUCCUUGUUUGUUAUACCUAAAAAGGUAAGAGUGAGGUUAGAAAAGAUUCAAAGAGACUUUCUUUGGGGAGGUGGGAAUUUGGAAAAGAAACCUCAAUUGGUUAGUUGGUCUACUGUUUGUAUGGAUAAAAGAAAGGGGUGUUUGGGUAUUAGAAGUCUCUCUUUGUUGGUUCAAGCCCUCCUUGGAAAGUAGAGUUGGAGGUAUGUUUCUAAAGAAGAAGUUUCAUAGAAACAAAUUAUAGAGGAGAAGUAUGAGAGGGAAGGAGCAGGUUGGCACCCUUGUGGAGUGAGAGGUAGUUAUAGGGUUGGUGUUUAGAAAGCUAUAAGGAAGGAAUUAAAUCUCUUCUUUAGUAAAACCUUGUUGGAAAUUGGUAAUGGUAGAAGAGUUAAGUUUUGGAUGGAUAGAUGGUGUACGGAGGAGCCCCUUUGUAACUCAUUCCCUUUUUUGUAUGCUUUGACUUUGUUAAAGGAAGUUUGGGUGGCGAAUUUGUGGGAACUUUGGUCUCUGUGGGCAUGUUAAUUGUUGGGAGAUUGAAGAGGUUGAGAUUUUUUUUUCCUUGUUGCAAGCAAGGAUAAUUAGAAGAGAUGUUAAUGACAAGGUGAUUUUAAAAAAAAGUAAAAAAAGACUGUUUUCAGUUAAAUCUUUCUGUGCAGCCUUGGAGGUGGUGAAGACGGUCAUUUUCCCAAAGAACAUUAUUUGGAACCCAUGAGUCCUGUCUAAGGUGAGCUUUUUUGUGUGGGAAGCAAGUUAGGAAAAGUGUUGACUUUAGACAAUCUCCAAAAGAAAGGGCAAUCACUAGUGAAUAGAUGCUUUAUGUGUAAAUGGGAGGGGAAGUCCAUUGAUCAUAUUCUUCGCUACAAUGUAGAUUGGGUGAUCUCUUCUUCAGUCAAAGAUACCCUUUUAAGUUGGCAUGAUUCCUUUGUAUGGAUCAAAAGGAAAAAGGUGUGGAAAGUUGCUUUCCUUUGCAUAUUUUGGACAAUUUGGAGGGAAAGUAAUCAAAGAGCUUUUGAGACAAAGAACAAAAUGAUCAAAAGUUAAAAAACAUUCGUUCUUUUGUAAUCUUUCUCCUUGGGUUAUCUUGUAUAUAAGAGAAGGUCCGAUGCCUUUGUUUGAUUUUGUAGAGUGGGUUGAGUCUUUUUGAGUGUCUUGGGGGUUUUUUGUGUACUUUUUCGAGGCCUUCCUUUUGGUGCUCUUUGUAUAUGUCUUGUGUACUCUGGUAUUCCUUUUUCUAUUAUUGAUUUAUGCAUAUCUUUUUUUACGUAUUAAAAAAAAUAAUAAUAGUAAUGCAGUUUGUGCCUCGUCACAUGUAGAGGAGGGUGAUUGUGGCCUAAAUCCAAUAACUUAAGUUUUUAGGAAAAUUAAUUGUUGAAAUAUUAGGGUCUGGAUUGGUGGAGGCUCAUGAGUUCAAAUUGCACUGUAUGUUUAUUUUCCCAAUUUAUUGAGCUCAUAUGUAAGUCCAAAAAGGUUGUUGUGAUUCAUUUGGCUACGAAUCUGUUUGUUUCUCCAUGUGUGGGUCGGGGGCAAUACGUGAAAGGUGUUAGAGAGCAUGGCAUAUACUGUGGGCCCAAAUUCUAACUACUGAUUUUUUUAGGAAAAUUGAUUGUCCAAUAGGGUGUUUGUAUUUGCUCUAUGAUCAACUUGAGGCUGCUUAUCCCCAGACCAGCACCACCAGAAAAUUGUACCUGGAACUGGCUGAUCAUGGUAGCCGACUCAGGUUUUUUCUCAGAACUAGCAGGUUCCUGUUCUACCCUCUUACCUGCCACAAAUGAGUUUGCAUGAAUAAAAUUGUUAUUUCUCUAUCUACCAACACAUGCAGCAAACUUCUUGAUAUUCCAGCAGGCUUAGAGGUCCAUCUCUCCCAGCCCAACCAAUAAAGGGUUGAAAAUAAAAAUUUGUCUGUUCAGUGGGAUGUUAUUUAGAUUAGGAAAUAGAGCCCUGGCCUGUAACAACCAAAUUUGGACUGUUUUCUGGUCAGGAUGGAACAUGCUGACCUUGUAACUAGAUCAGAACAAGAGUGACAAAUUUGGCAUAUGAUGGGUGAGUCUUGAGUUAUAUGUACACAUGCCAUAAAUAUCUUACAUAUGGGCAAAUGCAUAUGGAGAUGGUUUAGUAUGUAGGCACUAUAGAAGCACCAAGUUUGUACUUCUUAUUUAGAUAUAGAUAUGCCUUUUUUUUAAUGUAUAUGUUCUUUUAAGUGCAUGUAUGUAUUCAUGUCUGUAUGUCUAAAAUAUCACAUACCUAAAUUAUCAUGGAUUAUAUAUCUAUAUAUCUAUAUUUAUACAUACAUGGGAACAUUUUUUAUCAGUAAAACUUUAGGACACUUCCUGGCUUGUUCUCUUUGGUUUCUAAAAUUUAUACUUAACCAAUUGAACAAAAUAAUAUCAAUCUUGCCUAAUUUAUGGUCAACCAAAUCUUUACUCUUCACCAAUUAUAGGAUUGAAAAUUUACUCUUUGCCUAAUUUAUGUUCUCUUUGGUCUCAAAUGAUCGAUUUUUACUUAUAUCAUACCUUUUUCUGCAGAAAGAACUUGCUUUAUAUGCUGCUUCAAAGAUGAAUGUUGAGUUUUGCUGGUUUGAUAUUGAUAGGGAUAUUAAUCCCCUAUUUAAGGUAAUGUCUAGUUGUUGAUAAUUCAAUUUCUAUUUCUUUGUUAUUAUUUUUCUGCUGCUUUCUGCACCAAUUCAUGAAUAAAAACUUAGCUCUGUCUCUGGUUUUCCCAAAAGUUAGCCUUUGAAACAUGCAAUAUCGUGCUUCAUGUUAUGUUUCAGUUUUGUUAUGAGAAGUUUAUUUUGGGCUUACUGGCUCCAUAUGUUGUUUAUGUCCUACACUAUUAUGAACAUGUUUUGGGGAAUAGAUUCCUGAAGGCAGUUCUCUCAAGUCCUCUGGAAGGAAACCUUGAAUAUCUGCUUGCAUUGAUUUUAAAGCUUCUGGAUUUCCUUUCCUUUAUAUUUAAAGUUGAGACAAAUUGAAUCCCCGCAAAAUUGGGUCAAACUAUUAUGCAUAACUCUGUUCAUUGGAUAUAUGAUUUUAUGUUCAGGUUCAAGACAACAUUUUUAGGACUGGUUUAUGUGGUGUAUGGCUUUGAGGAAAAACUUCUCGAUCUUGAACUUAGUUUCUGUAGGAAGAAAAAUUGUUUAUGCACAUUGCAUGUACAAUUUCCAACAACAUACUGUAGACAGUGUGAAGUUGCAGUUGAGGAGACCUGGCUAGACCCUCAACUCUAAUUGUUGUGUUAUGUGCCUGGACUGUAGUAAGUCAGUGGAUCAUCCAUUUUUUGUUGCCUGGUCUCUUUAGGGCUUUGGCAUAGGGUUUUGAGCUUGCAGUGAUUGACUGGGCUCCUAGGAAUGUAGUUGAUAUGUUUGAUUAUUGCCUUUUGGGGUUUUGGAGGACUUUCAAGAGGUAGAGUGCCAUGAUCACUUGUUUGCCUCACUUCAAUUAAAGGUGAUAGGGCUUGAAAGGAACACCAGAAUUUGGAGGAUAGAUGGAAGUCAGCGGUGGCUUUCUGGCAACCAUUUUCUUUGUUUGCUUUAGGCUUCAUUACAAAUUCUCUUUUUAAUAUUCAUUUAAUCUUCAUCCAAUUAGAUUGGAGGCUCUGUUUGUUUUUCCAGGAGUAUGGUGGAGAUACAAGCUGAGUGGAUCCCAUCCAUCAGGUGUCCUCAAAUUAAACUUGGAUGGGAGCUUAUUGGGUGAUGGGGAACAUCUAGGGUUUGGGGCAGUGAUCGGAGGGAGAUCAUGAUGGUAGCAUGUUGAGAGCUUUCUCCUAACCAGCUGGGGUCUAUGUAACUGUUGAGGCAGAGAUUGACACUACAUCAGAGUGUUUGUCUGGCUAACUCUUUGGACUGUCAAUCUUUUCAGUGGAUGGUGAUUAUGCUAUGGUCAUUUCUUGGGUGUCUAAAAAGUGAGGAUCAUGAAUGUUUGGUCAUGUCAAAUCAUAGAUUUAACUGGAGUUUUGGGGUGCUUCCACUCUUGGAUUUCAUGCUUAGUGUACCAAUUACUAAACCUUCUUGCCAAGUCUGGAACCUUUCUGUUAGAUAGUUUUGUAGUGGAGUUUCUACCUCCUUCGUCUGUGCUCUUUUUGGUGUCUAUCUGUUUCUUUUGCGGUUUUGGGUUGUUGCACUUCAUAAUUUUCCUUGUCCCAUGCUUAGUUUCCCUACGUUUGAUCAGAUCCUUUUGUUUGUGAAAGGUAGCUUAUCCUUUUCUCUGCAUCCUUAUAUUCUUCAAUGGAAAGAAUUAUUUAUCAAUGAUAAGAAAGAUAUCAUAGGAGUUGAAUGUGUCCUUUCAUAUAUGGCUUUACUUUCACUAAUAAUUUUCAAUUUCUAGAGGGUGCAAUUCCUUUAUUAUGGUCUAAAGUUUAAAAGGUAAUGCGGUGACUAUCAGGGUAUAGUAACAAGCCGAGUACCACCAACAAGUACUUUCUCAUAUGAAUGCAAAUAAGUAGGAACAUAGGAGUUGACCUUUUAGCUUGUACAUCACUUCACUCGUAUGUUAAUUGAGAUUUAAUCGUCUGUUCAUACGCCAAACUAAUUAAAUAUACACAGUUUUAGAGAAUGCAAAAAUGCUUGAUAGACAAUUGCUCCUAUAAUAAACAUAUUCUUUUCUUUAUUCACACGAAUUUUAUGUUCUCUAUUGUGGUUUUCAGGAAUACUGGUGCAAAAGAUUGCACCCCAAGCAUGUAAGUGAAAAUGUUUUCAGGCAACCUUCCCUGAAAAAGAAUAAGCAUAGAAAGCAAGAUUUUGCUGUUACAAAGCAGAAGGCUGCUCUUCUGCAUGCUGCAGAUUCUAUUGGCAAGAAGAUACAAUAUAAUUGUCCAGGCUUCUUACCCAAUAGGCGCCAGGUGAUUGUAAUUCAUGCACUAUUCUGAUGGACAAGUUAAUCUCUAUUUCUUGUUAUGGCUUGUUUUUUGUGUCUGCUUUUUCACUUUCUGAUUUCCUUCUUGUGAUAUAUAUAUGUGUGUGCAUAUUUGUUCUUUCAUUUGAGGGCUUAUUGUAACCAAACAUAUUUUCUUUCAAAUAUUAAAAUAAGGGCAAAGAAGCAUGUUUAGAAUCUAAGUAUUGGUAAUCAGAAUACUGCCUUUGGCUAUUAACAUAAGCAAUCCAUGCUCCAAUGAUUCUUGUUGUUGUUCAUGGAAGCUCCAUUAUCUGUGCUGUACCUUUGGUGAAUUUCUGUAUGUAUUAUUUAUCUUCCAAAAUUGAACAUGUCCCAGCAUCGUAUGGCGGGAUUAGCUGCUAUUGAGAUUGCACAAAAGGUCUCAAAGGCUUGGCGUUCUUUGCAAGUUGAACGGAAUAGAAACACAUCAAAACAUGGAAAGAAAGCCCGGAGAAAGGAAAAAAUCAAUACGCCCAGUCUGAAUAGAGGUGGUGCUGGCUGUAGUACAAGUAGCUCCUCAGAAACAUCAACUUCAUAUAGUAUUACAGAAGAUAGAUCAUCAGGCCGUCCUAUGAUGUCAUGGCAUGACGUUUAUUCCUUGGCUGUGAAAUGGAGACAGAUCUCUGAACCUUGUGACCCAGUUGUGUGGGUUAAUAAGUUGAGGUAAUGUAUCUUUGUGAUCAGAUGGUCUUUUUGUUAGUAUCUCUUAUUUGUUGUGUAUAAGCAUUGCAUCUUUUGCCUAUUAAAAAAAGGGGAAAAAAAAAAAAGCACUGCAUCUUUUGCUCAUUUGUUGUUUUGUUGUGAGGUUAGCAUUUAUAGAGUUCCGCUAACCUUGUUCUACAUUAUCUAUAAUGUAUCAUUUCUUCUUAAUCGUGGUUCCUUAUAGAAGUCCAUGUCCUAAGAGAGGCAACUUUUUUCUUCCUGUCCCAAGAAUAAAUGAAAAAUGUGUUUCUUUCUUCUAGAGAUGACAAUUAUUUACCAUUGGUCCAAAACCUGCUCAGGCUUGUGGUCCAAGUAACACUCGAAAUCAACUUCUUUACCAUUAUGUUAGAUUAGUUCAUCUCAAAACUUGACAAGCUAUAGUGCCAGGGCCAAUCUUCAUUAGCAUGCUUUUAACUCUAGCUAUCAAAUCAAGAUCCACAAAUCAUUAGACAUAUUUUAGGUUGGGUAGGUCAAAGCCUAACACCAAGGUGCACUUAGCCUAGGUGGGCUCUUGAGUUUCGCUUUAGACCAUAGUUGUUAAUGCUCAUGAUUCACUAGUAAAACUAAUGAGUGAAGUUGGGGAACUGACCUCCAAUUGCUCAUCAUUUCAUGUUAUACUUGUGGGCAUUCAACACAAGCAAACAUGGCUCUCUUAUCAACAAUUCCGCAUUGGUCACUGACAACAUAGUUGCAGGGGUUGGUAGUACUAUGUUAGAGGUAUCUCCUCUUUGUGUUGCCAAACUGGUAAGAGUUGUGGUAGCCUUGAUAGAGUAGCAACAUUCUUGGUGGAGAAGUGGCCAAGUAGAAGCAGUAGUAAGUGGGUCAACGAUAGAUGCCUCCUUGCAAACUUGGCAUCCCUGGAAGAGAUACUGAUAUUAUAGCUGCAACAAGAUAGUUGAAGAUGCUUCCUUAGAAUACCUAGUAGGAGCAGUGGAAGAUGGUCCAUGGUGUAGGCACUAGAACUACUAGGUGUCUGAAAGAUCCAUUGACACAACAGUAGGCAUUAGCAUUGGCAGUGAGUGGCACUGGGGCAGUGUAAUAGCAGUGGAACAACAAAUAAUGUGACCUUUGAGAAUGCAUCCAUAUAUAACUGAUCCUGCUGUUCAUGAUGGUCACAUGGCAUGUGAUUGUAGAUCCACAUUUCAGAUGAAAUUACACUUGGAAAUAUAUAUAGAAAAUAGAUUAUAGGAUUAUAUAAAUAGAACACAAGUGUAUCUACUAAAUCAAUAUAUAUAAUUUGAACAACACAUACUUUGUUUGGGGUUGCCUAAGUCUAACACUCAGUUCAUUUGAACCGCAGCUAUGAGCUCAAAACAGGGGUUGAGUUUAGGUUAGGCACAGUGCCACAAUAUUCAGAAACUGGCAUGGCUUAAUCAUAUUCAUUUUCCAACAUUAGGAGACAUUUUCAUUCAUUGGUCCAUUUUGAUCCAUAGAAUGUGAGUUUGGUUAACAAUGUGUGGAUGAAUUUCAUUGAUUCUCAUAGUUUCACAGUUCACUCUUCUUUGUUUGAAUGAUUAAAGAGUUACUUAUUCUGGUUGGGUGCUCUGCAAUUCAGUGAAGAAUUCAACUCUGGAUUUGGGUCUCACACACCACUUAUUCUUGGACAAGCAAAAGUUGUUCGCUAUUUUCCAAAUUACCAGAGGUAAAAGGUUGUUCUUAUUCCAUUUAAGAACAAUGUUUUUUUAAUAGAUGCUGAUUAUUUGCUAAUCUUGCAGAACAUUAGAUGUUGCCAAGACUGUCAUGAAGGAGAAAAGGUAUGUGCACAACAAGGCGGAUGACAUCAUGUAUCUAUCUGAAGAUGGGAAACUACAAGAAGUGAGUUUUUUAUUAGUUUGUUCCGUAUCUUCCAUUGUAAAAACACUGCUCUGGGGCUUUAUCCUGUGUUCAUCCACUAUUUUCCCAUUUAAUCAAAUUUAUAUAGAAGAUUGUCAAGAUCUUGUUUCUUGUAUGUGGUUAACUAGGAAAUUAAAGAGUGGAACAAGAAGUUCUAGUCGAAUACUAUUCAAAUAUGUCAUGAAAAUGUUAAUAAAUUGGGUUAUUUGAUUAAAAGGGGUGAAAUAAUUCCCUAUUUGGAAAUCUAACCCUCCACAUUUUGUAAGUCUAAAAAAUACAUAUUUUUGACAAAAAUACCCUUAUUUUUUUCUUGUCAAAAUAACCUUCUCUUUUAAAACAUAUAUGUAAAUAAUCUAAAUAUUGAAUGUCAUUUAUGUCAAAGAUGGGUUAUUUUUCAAGUUCAAACAUGAAAGGGGUUAGAUUUACAAAUUUGGGAUUUUUCAUCCAUUUAAUCCUUUAAUUCUAAUAAAUUAAAGGUUGCAUCUUCAAUAUACUACUUUCUGUGUCAUAACUUCACUGCACUAAAUGAGACACACAAGUUUUAUGUCAAGAAUAAAGAAUGAAAUUGUUGAAUGUGUAUUGGAGAUGCCAAAGCAUUAUUGAACUUAACUAUUUGUCUGAAAUUUUUGGAAGUGACUUGGUUCACGGAAUUUAGAAAUGGUGAAGUGAUUCUCCUGACUUCAAAGGAUAGAUUUUAUUAAGAGAGAAGGGUGGGGAGAGAAGGUGAAGGAACUGUCUGUCCACCUUAAUACAACAGCAGAGACACAAAAAUAACAUCUUCUCUCGCCCCAGCACAGUGGUUUUGCUCUUACGCUUUCAUUCACCCUUUUGGUGGCAGUUUGAUCUAGAUAUUUCUGACCUCUAGUUUGGAGAUGAUUCUUUGAUUAUUAUUCUGACACAUCUGAUCCCCAGUUGCAACAUGUGAGAUACCUGUUAAGAUAUUGCCAACUUGCCCUAGGCCUACAAGUUAAGUUCAAAAAGAGUGUGCUUAUGGUUAUUGGCAGGGUUAACAUUUGUAGGCUCUAGGGACUUGGAUAUUCCAUGGGAAGUUAUUUUGUCAACCUGUUUGGAUCUUCCUUUGGCAGUAGAUUGCAUAAUUAGACAUGCAUUGUUGUCCUGUGCUCCCCUCUUGUGGCAGCUGAAUGUGAAUUAUUGCUCCAAAAUCCUUUCCUGCUCAACCAAUCACCUGGAAAAUUGGAUCCUUGGUAUACGAAAUUCAGGGUUGCAAUCAGGUCUGGACAUGACAAAUGGGUCUAGUUGAUCAAAAGAAACUCACAUUUCAAGAAAGAAAGGAAAAGAGGUUGGUAUAAUAUAUAUUUUCUGGUGCCCCUCUUUUGCUCCAGCUGAAUCUAAAUUGUUAGUCCAAAAUCCUAUCUGACCACCACCAACCUGGAAAACUAGGUUUCUGGCAUCUUAAAUUCAGGUUGCAAUGAGGUAUGGGCAUGACAAAUAGAUUUUAUCAGUGACCUGUCCAACCAACCACACACCUUGGGAGGAAGGAUAUUAGUUGACCUGGAUUUGAUGGAAUGGCUAAGAGAGUCCAUUUGUGGUGAAAUAGAAGAACAAUUAUGGCAAGGUGUCAUGAUUUUUGUUACGCUCCAUUAGCUAGGUCCCUAGUUCUAAAGUGCCAAAAUUAGGGGAAUCAAAUACAGACUAUUUACCAGAUGGGGUACCACUGCAUUACUGGGAGGUAAUGCAACUAUGCAAGCCUCUUUGUUCUUCUUCUCCUCUGAACCCCCCAAUCACACUUUAAAAUUAGUGAUUUUUGUUUCAGAACAAUUGUUUGUGUGAAAUGCUCUUUUCUUCAAAGCAUAUUUGCUAGUUUUUAUCUACUUUUCUGGUUCUGUUGAUUUUAUAUCUCUUUGAUUCCUAUCAUCAUGUCUCAUACUUUUAUUAAAAAGGAAGGGUAGUUUUAAUAGCUAAUUUAAACACAAUGUGCAGAUUAUGCAUGCAGAAUCCUGCUCUGAUCUUUACAAAAUUGUUGGUGAGGAUUUCUGGUUGGCUACUUGGUGCAAUAGUACAGCAAUUGAGGGGUAACUAGGCUUAUCAAGGAAGAUGUAAUAUUUUAGGCGUCUAUUUCUUGUCAUGACCUAAUAUCUUAUUGUUAUUAUGCUUGUUUCAGGAAACGGCUUGAGGGAACAAGGAUCACCCUAUUGAAAAUGUAAUUCAUAACUGAUUAAGUUCAAGACUUAUUUCUUCUUUUAUUUUUUUGUUUUAAUUUUUGUUUCUUUUGUUUUAUUCAUGUUUUACUGCGUAUUUCUUUGCUGAGUGUAUCUCUUCCAGGGGCGAACAUGGAUUUGACUUUGCAAUUAGAACACCGUGCACACCUUCUAGAUGGGAUGAUUUUGACACAGAAAUGGCAGUGGCAUGGGAUGUAUGUUCUUCUAGCCUUAACUUGAGCCAAAUCCUUUCCUGUUUCUUUCAGGCAUUGAAUGUGGUGCCUGUUUUGCUCAUGUUUCAAAUUGCAGCUCAAAUUCAGACUGCUAUAUGAUUCCCACUAGCACAGUAAUGUGACAUUAUGCAAACAGUUUUGCCCAUGCUAUGUGAUUCCCACUAGCACAAUAAUGCGUGACAUUAUGCAAACAGUGUUCCCACAAGAAGCAUGGUUCAAAGUUUAAAAUGACAUCUGGAUAAGGCCAUGUGCUUGGGUUUCUUUAUCUUUCAAAGAGUUAUCAUGCUGUAGUUUUUAGAAUUUGUUUAGCUUAAUCCAUCAAACCGAGUGGAGCAUUCAAUACUUAGGAUGGAAAUAGAUCAUUUCCUAUAUUUCUCCAUUAUUGUCAGGUUUAGAAUUAAUCCUUCAAGCACCAUGAUUUUCAUGUUGCAUGUGUUUCAGCCAUACUGGACAGAGUUUUCAAUUGCAUCUUGGGGUGUGGUGCCCUAUAACAUCAUAACUGGUAACAGUGCCAACUUUGAGGCACUAAACGUUCGCUUGUAACUUAGGAAUUCAGCUGCAUGAGUUUGCAUUUAUCUCAGGAUAAAGUCACAAUUACAAUAAGAUGGAGUUUAUAUUUUAAUGACUGGCACUACCUCUGUUUUUCUUGGCAUUUUCUGAAGUUUAGCCAUGGUAGAUUCAGGUCUCAAUCGUAAAUUCUCUGCCAUCGGGAGGCAGUUGGAUGCCAGUCACCCACAAGGCCAUUGGUAUCCCAUAUGUUUGGACAUAUUUUCCUUCAAUGUGUGCCAAUUCUAAAAUGUUCUCUGAUAGACUCAUCAUGCAGACUUUGCUGAGAUUGAAAUACACUCACUUUUUUGGGCCUAGCACUGAUAUUGAAAUUAAAAGAUUUUGAUCCUGCCAUAAUAUCUGACUCUACUCAAUUAUGGAUUUGCAGGCCCUGUGCAAUGCGUAUUGUGGGGAAAAAACUUAUGGUUCGACUAAUUUUGACAUGCUUGAAAAUGUGAGAGAUGCAAUUUUGAGGAUGACAUAUUACUGGUAAGAUGCCAAUGCACACAGAUGGUUUUAGACAAUUUAUGCGGUUUGUUUAUGUAAAAGAAACUGAAUUACUUUUCAGGUACAAUUUCAUGCCACUGUCAAGAGGCACUGCUGCAGUUGGGUUUGUAGUUUUGCUGGGUUUGUUUCUUGCUGCUAACAUGGAGUUCACUGGAAGCAUCCCCAAAGAUUUUCAGGUGGAUUGGGAGGCCAUUCUGAACUUGGAGCCAGACUCCUUUUUGGAUUCUGUGAAGAGUUGGCUGUAUCCGUCCCUCAAGGUCACAACGUCUUGGAAAGAGUAUCCGGACGUGGCGUCAACUUUUUCGACAACUGGGUCUGUUGUUGCUGCUCUGAGCUCUUAUGACGACUGAUCUCCCCUUGGCCUCCUAAAGAGGUAGAAUUUAACUCCAUUACUAGGUCUUUUGAAUUUGUCAGAUCUACCGUGGUAAAGCAAAGGUGAAUAUAUAAAGGUGAGGCGUUUGAAAAUCCCAUGAAAAUGAAUUUUCCAUUUGUUUUUCGUGUUGUUUGAGAAUUCCCUCUUAGAACUUUCUAGUCAUGAACAGAACCACUCAGAUGGUUGAGAUUCUUGUAAAAUUUAUAAUUAAAGCUGUAUUUUGUUGUUUAUUAUUAUUGCUAUUAUGAACUUGUUUUUGGGAUUAAUUCUCAUAAAAAUGCUUUUCGUCUAUAUCAUUUUGUUUGUAGUAUACCUAAAAAUAAAAAAUAACUGCUGAUAGUAUUUUCAGUAAUAUAUAACAUUUUAGAAAAAGGAAAAGUGAUUAUCUAAAAUUCUUUGAGUCGAUGUUUGGAUAUAGUAUGAGAUGUGAUAAAAGAGGGAUAUUAUAUCUUAUUUUAUAUUUAGUUGAACAUAAAAUGGUAUAAGAUAAGUUAUUUCAUCACUUAUUGUAUUUUAUGUUCAUCUAAAUACGAAAUAGAAUAAAUGGAUGGAUAUAUCAUUCACUUUCUUUUUUAUAUCCUUCUAUAUGAGUUAUGUUGAUAUAUAAGAUAUGUAUAUUCCAUAUUCAUAAAUUUAUUUUUUUUAUAUACCAAUUUUGUAAAAUAGUUUUUUUAUUAUAAAUUAAAUUUAUGAUUAAAAAAUAUUUAUAAAAUAAUAUUAAUAUAUUAUCUAUAAAUUAUUUUUAUAUAUUGAAUACCAUAAUAUAAAAACUUUAUAUUUAUAAGUUUUAAAUAUGUUAAUUAUGAGUAUUUAAAGAUAUCAUAUGUAAUUAAAAAUUAUAUUUUAAAAUAUACAUAUUUCAUCCUAUUGUAUUACGCCUACCAAAUAUAAUCUUAAAUUGCUCAAGUGUUAUAAAACACUAGUAACAUUUUGUUAAAUCACUUACGAUAACUCCCAAACUGGUUCAUGGUCUAUGCAGAAGUAAAGGAAGACACUAAAAUAAUCUUAUUUCCUUGCUCCACCAACUUCACCUUGAAAUCGAUCACAUUUUAAAAGAUGGUCAGCUGAAGCAAGAUCCGUUCUCAUUAAACCCAUACAUGGUUAAUCAUUAGGGAUGGAAAACAAGAAUGGGAGUUCACUAACGUUUAGUGGUAUCUAGCAUCUUUUAUCGAAGACACUGAGUGCACGUGUGGCACAUGUUGGACCUGUUUUCCACCUGCCUUGACCCUUGAGUUUGUACGUAUGUGAGUUGAACCGUAGUAACCAGUGAGAAAUGAUUUGAGUUUCAGGUCAGUUUCAGCCUGUUCAUGACAAUGAAACUUCCCUUGCAAGAUGUUGCUCCUAAUAAAGCUAAUGAAAUGGACGGUUUUACUCGGUGGCUCAAUUCCAAAGGUAGAGACGCCUACCAAUUUGAAAGCUAUACUACUACCUACUCCAACUAAAGCAAACAAGUUUAUUGAAUAAUGCAGAUUUCAAACAAUAAUUGUAGUGUUUCUGCAUCACGUCAAACCAUAAUUAGUGCGGUAGGUAUGAUAAAAUCUUCCGCAAAUCUAACUUCGAUUCACUAUCAAUAAGUUGUUUUGAAUAGGUCUCUUUGGAGGGCUUCCAAGUCUUAGAGAGAGAAGAGAGCAACUGACAGCGGCUGCGAAGGGCAUGCAACCACCAGGUGAAAGAAGGCUAACAGCCCUUUGCCGUAAUGGUUAUACAUUCCAAAUCUCGGUACAUACUGACAAAGGAAUUUUAAGAAUUAAAAGCUGAACCACACCGGAUCAAUGCCGUCACCCAAUUUUGGCACGUGUCAAUUUAUCAAUAACGCUGAGACCUUUCUUUUUAUGUCCUGUCCUUUCUAGCUUUCUCCCCUGCAUUAUUCCAAUCGCCGGUUCUUCUGCAAUAGUGGGCAUACCUGACGACAAUCAAAAUGUUAAUGAGUUCACCCCAUAAAAUCAUGGAAUUUACUAAUACCCAAAUAUUCUAACGUGCCUUUGAUCGAAUCCUACUUUAUCAGAUCAAAUUCACCUCAACCAAUCACACAUGCCAGCCCAAAAGUUCCGCUUUGGUUCACUGCAACUGUGCCCAUUUUUGGGGCCUAUUGGCAUAGGCCGUUGUUUUAAAAUAUCAACUGGGUGGCGAUGCUUUGUAAAAUUGUACUUUUAAAUUUAUGAAUUUAAUAUUCAUGAAAUUUUAUUUUUUUUUAAGGAGGCAGCAACUUUUGAUAAAUAAAUAUUGGAGUUUAAUGCAGCAAGAAAUAAGUAGCUUACCAGCAAUGCCCUUCUGCCUCUUCCUUGUAUCCGUCGUCAUUGUCGUUUCAUCAACUUGGUGAUGCCCGUUCGAUUCUUGAUUUUCGACACCAUGAUUGUUCAAAUUUUUUGACCUGGCAGUUGCGAAAAUCCACGUGGUGUUCAUCUGCUUGGUAAUCAUACGUGCCGCGUAGUAGGGGAUCUUGACACCGUUGGUGUCCAGAGACUUGAUACGAUCAUUGAUGAACAUUAAGCAGUCCAUCAAGCUUUCUUUGGCCAAACCUUUCAUAUCGUAGGCCUGUGAUCUUCUCCACAGGCUCUUACUGUGAGGACUCAGCACACUGGAUAGGUUCAGAGCUCGAGUUGAGUCGCUAAUGGCGGAUUCUGUGUCUCUCAGGAGGAGAUGGCAUUGAGCUCUAUUGCUAUGAAGAACAACUCUCUCUUUUCUCAUCUUUAAUGGGCACAACUCCAAAGCUUCUGUGUACUUCAACACUGCUGCUUCAAUGUCACCUGACCAGAACAAUUGAUUUCCUUCUUGUUUCAUCACGCCCGCCAGGAGUCUUCUCUCUCUAGCCUCCUCUUCUGUCAUUAUAUUCUCUCUCUUUUUUCUCUCCACUUUCAAAUCCCAUAUCUCUUCCAAUGUUCUUUCAGCUCUUUUGCUCUUCAAAUCCAGAUUCCCGUAUUUGAGUUGAUUAUAAUCCUGUAGUAGCGUCUGUGUGAUUGCUUCUCCUACUUUGGUUCUUCCUCUGAGGCUUCUGAGUUCAACCAAAUCAACGAGGAACAGAACCGCAGUAUUUAGAACUUUAUAUCUCGUAUCUGGGUCCUUGAGAAUUAGGAGAAGACAAUCAAUGGCCAUGUACUGCCACUCAUCUGAAGAUCUAGAUGUGUUGCAGAGGCUCUCUAUCACUUCCUUUGAAUCUGCCACGCUUCUUCUUCCGGUUUUGGUGUAACACAGAUUUCUGAUGAGUCCAAUUCCUGCGGGAGAAGAUCCAUUAGCCAACCCACCCCACAUUCCACACAAUUUCUUCAAGAACUCUUUGUUACAGAUGCGAUUCAGAGAUCUUUCUUUGCAUGCAAAGCAGUUCAGGAGAUAGAGAGACCAGCACUGGAGUUGGCUAGCCCAUUCCUCAGCCUUUCUGUUCUCAAUCUCCAAUCCUCCAGUCCCUCUUGUUAGCAAAUCACAGUGGUACUUCAAUCUUCUUGUAUGUUCCACGCCUACGAAUUCAACGUAGACCUCGUCAAGACAUGUGGAAGCUGUCUCCAUGGAUUCGUGUAUUAUCUCAGCUUCAUGCACAGCAAUGGCUUCGAAGGUUCUUUCAUGGCUUGCCAGGUGACCCAGUGCCCGAACAGCCACUCUUUUCUCGACCCAACUCAUCUUUCCUCUCAAAAGCUCCAUCAGUGACGAAAUCACGCCUGAUUUCACAGCUCUCUCUGCAAACUGAACCUUGUUCAUGGUGUAGGACCCAAUAAUAUGGGCCGCAUAGUAUGGGAUGUAGAUGUUCUGGUCCCUCAGAAGCCACUCUUUGUCACUGAUCCCCCUGCGGAUUAGAUUUGCAGCGCAUUCAAAGAUGCCGAGCAACGGAAAUUCCGGGUCAUCAGGCUGCGUCAUGGCGAUGUUCCAGAGCCCACUCAAUGCCAGGACGUGCUCUUGAUCGUCUCUGAGAGGCAUCUCCUUGAAGCACUUGGCUAUUCCAGCCCUCCUGAGAGACGGGUCUGCCUCAUUCAUGGCGCAAAAGAAACAACAAGGGUUUGUGCACAGCACCUUAACAUUCUUGUGUGUCGUAUUCUUUUGGUGCUGCGACUCCAUGGCCGAGUCAGAAAGAAGAUGAGCUCCGAUGAAGUUUAGUACACUGGGCAUCCGAAGAAACAGAAAAUUAAAUUUGGUUGCUAGCCUGCCGGUGAUGGAGAGAAACCUAUCUGGGCAUGGGAAGCAGGCAUAUUAUAAAGGGCUGCGUUGCCGUUAUGAAAGAAAUGAAACCAAACUCUAUGGAAUGUGCCCAACCCUUCAUUCCACGUCUUAAGACUCAUGGCUGUCCAUCCAUACAUAUAAUGAUUAAAUGAAUGUUCAUUAUCAAUGCUCUUCACUUGAACCCAAUUUCCUAUGUAAAAUACUAAAAUUUGAAUUCCAGGUCUGUAAUUUUAUAAGACCGGAUCCUAAUCUAGGACGCACGUGCUACAAAUUGAUCCCACAACAAACAAUAUAAACACCAACAAAUCCUCCAAAUCUUGCUAAUAACUAGUGUUGGACCACAUUAGCAAUUCAUUUGAGAUAAAAUGUUCAAAAAAACCCGCAGUACUAAUGAUGCUGCCCAACUGGGUUGCUUCACCAGAACACACAAAAGGUAAAAACAAAGAAUUCUAGCUCUGGUCCCCUCCAUAACAAUUGAACAGCCGGACAAUGGCCCCAUUUACAAAACAAUAUGUUAUAGAUUGAGGUAAUUUAUAUAUCAAGAUAUAUGAUUAGAGUUAGAGGUCCCCCACAUAGAAUGCAAUCAAGUUUUCCCAUCUCAAAAGCCAAGAAGAACUCACAAAAGUAAUACACAGGCAAGUACAACUGUGUUGGUCUCAAGAAAAAGCGGCUAGCAACCACAUACAAUAUACUUAUAACUAUGAUAUGAAAAGCAUAUGUUAAUCAUAUAUUUUAGUUACAUGAGUCUGCUUUAAUAAUGUGACUCAGUGUAAAACAAAUCCAACUUUGGGAAAUUUUUUACCAUGAUCAUGAUCAGGAUCUACCCAUCGUCUAGUUCUGAAAUCGACAUCUGUCUUUCUCUAAUAAUCAAGUUGCAUUUCCUGGAUUAAACUGUUGCUAGGCGUGGACGGACAUUGAUAUCUAGGCACAUGAUCUUCUGGGUGUGGCAGCGGCGUGAUUAAAGGCCAGCGUAUUUCUUGGUAAAAAGCUUGCCAAAAGAAGGGAACAUUUCAAAGUAGUUCCAGGGAGGAUGAAAAUUGACAUUAAUGAACAUUGAUCAAUUUUUAAUAUGAGUUUCGAUCGGUUUAGGCUGAGAAAGAGGCUUAUUAGCACACGGUUUAGGCCACUAUCCCGAAUCUAACGAGUAUGUCAUCCAUUCAAGAACUGUGGGGCCUACGCAUAUAACAUGCAUACAAUAAGGAAAUGCUUCGUUUAGGGCUUUGGACCUUGGGUUCAUGAAUAGCACAAAAAUCAUCCAUUAUCACAAUGGGCUUAGGCCCAAGAAGUGAGCGAAAGCCGUUCUUCCCAUCAUUGGGCUACCACUAGGUAGGCCCAUUUUGGUUGGGCACACAAUUUUGAGCCUCAUCCAUUGAAGGGCAGUCGCUAUCAUGUGGGGCCCCAUUGGUCCACAUAGUUCCAAAGAUGACAUGACCGAUAGAGGUCCAGCCUCUUGUUCACUGGCCCAUAUCCAACCGCUAUUUAAAGAAUGAGCCGACUAGGGAUGGGUAUGUUAAAAGUAAAAAUUGAUUCAACCCAUAGAACCUAUCAAACCGGUCCGAAUUGAUUAAAUUUUAAUAAUUUUAAUUUUCUAAACAUACAAAAUCCCGCAACAACAACAAGAAUCGCCUCAGCCAAUUAGCCCAAUCAUGCUUCACUCCACCUGAUCUUCAGUUUAGUCCAUGGUUCCUAUUUUAAAAAUUGAAAAUAAAUGGAAUAGAAUAGAAGGAGAAAGAGAGAUCACUUUGAGCUUUGUUGAUUUAUUAUAUGGUGAUUUUGUUGAAAAAGACUGAAAUCCUAUUAUUUAUUUCACUUAAGAUCGGACAAUUUAUCAUAAUAAUUUUUAAAAAAACUUUUUUGUUUAUAAUAUUUUAUAAUAAGUUUUUUUGGUUUCAACCAAGGCUUAAAAAACUAAUUUUUAUUAUAAAAUUAAAAUGUUGUUUGUUUUUUCAUUUAAAUCUAAAUAAAAUUUAAUUGAACUUUAACUUUCACAUCUUAAUAAUAUUAAGCAUCAAGUAUUUUAUUUUAUUUUUAUUUUAUUUAUGUUUAAUGAAGGAUGAGUGUUAUCUUGAUAUUAUGUUUUGUUUGUUUAAAAAAAAUUAUUUUUAGCAUUCGAUUAAAAAACUUAAAAUAACAAUAAAAAAAAUUAAAAACAAAUUGUCUAAAGUAUGAGAGUAAAUCGCAUUUAAUAUUAAGAGUUCGUUUUACAGUAGUUUUAAAAAGAGUUUUAACUUUAAAAAAAAAUAUUUUUGAAAAAAAAUUAGGUGUUUGGUAAUAUUUUGAAAAAUCAUUUAUAAUAUUAAAAAAUCUGUAACUUUCUUAAAAACAUUUAUAGGAAAAAUACUUUUACUUCAAAUAAAAAUAGAGUCAAGCACUCAAGUUUAAGAAACAAAUAUCAUUUAAUAGGUUUUAAAAAAGUACUUCUUGUCAAAAGUGUUUAGAAAAAAAAAUUAAACAUUUAAUAAAAGUUAGAAAAUACUCUUAAAGAGUUAAAAAAAUAUUACACUUUUUCAUUAAAAAUACUUUCAAAAAACAUGUCAAAUACAUUUUAAGUCAAAUGAAGAAUGCAUUGACAAUGUUUUUACUUGAAGUGUUUUCAUAUAAAUGUUUUCUUUUAAAACGUUUUUAAGAGAAUCAUUUAUUAGAUAUUUUUAUAUAAAACACUAUAAGUGAUUUUUCAACCCUACAAAUCAAUUUUUUAGAUUUUUAUAAGUAUUUUCUAAAUUUUUCCAAACUCUUAACUUUUUUUUUUUUUUCAAAAACACUUUUUAAACUAAAAAUGUUUUUUUUUUAAUCAUUACCAAACGAAUUCUAAACCAAAAUAAAGUAAACCCACUUACAUAAAUUAUUUUUAUUAAACUGAAUUAAGAGUGCGGUUGUGAGUAAUUUUAGAAAAUAUUUUUAAUAUUUAUAACACUUAAAUAUAAAAAUUUUGAAGUAUUAAAAAUAUUAAAAGCACUUUCUAAAAUCACUAUUGAAUAGACUCUAAGUGAAAUCAAUUUUUCUCUUUUUAAGUUUAAUUAAUAAUUAAUUUAAUUUUUAAUGUAUUAAAAUAGAUCAAAUUGGUUGGAUUAUUGAAUCAUGCACAACCCUUGAUAUGAAUCAUAUGAUAAAUAGUGUGAUUAGCUUACUUCAAUCAUAGAAUCUCACUGAACAUGUUUAGCUCAAAUUAAUGCCAGCUCCAUCACGCACACACCAAGCAGAACAACUGAAAUAAAUAAAAGCAACCAACAGUGAAAAAAAAUUAUGAAGCGGGCCCGAAAUCAUAUACUCAAAUUUUACUGCAAUAUCACGUCUUUUGAGCAAAAAAUGUCUUCCAAAUGCAUAAUAAAAUUUCACUUAACAAGUUGCGUUACAUUUCAAAACACAAAGUUAAUGUGUCCAAAAUCUAAUUUUACAUAUGCUAAUUCACUUAUGACAAGUUUUUGCUUUCUUGUUAUUAUUAUUAUUAUUACCAUCUGUGAUUGAAAAGGUAAGUGAGAGUCUGACUGUGAAGGAAAAAAAAUAAUCAUUGCUGUGAUUUAAACCCACAUUCUGACAAUAUGUUACUUAUUUUCUAUUUAAAAAAAAUAUAAAAUAAGAAAAAAAUCAUCAAGUUGCCCGUGGGCAGAGAAUAUCUAUUUUCAUAGAGAUUCCCCAAUACAUCUUUUUUUUUUUUUUUUUUUUCAGUACUUUGGUAGAAAACACCUGGCAGUUUCCUCAGCUUUACACAGCCGGACAAAGGAAAUGUUUUGUUUACAAAGGAAAGCUUAGCUUUGGUAGCUUUGCACAGGACCCACACGUGGCGGUGCCCCCCAAAUCCACAUACAGCUAGCCCGCUUCGGGCAAGCUUACCCCACAAUUAUUUUCCUCACCACACACGUGGGCGGUGUCUAUUGGUCCGUGAGCAUAAUUCCACCUCCUUCACGCGAAGACUCAUCAAAUCUAAAGUGCCAGCGGAGAAUUAUUUGACGUUGCGCGUUAUCAAAAUAAUCAAAGUAGGGGGUGACGUGGCGAUCUAAGGCUAUAGUCAUCUUUAACUCUCGCAUCACAUGCAUUGAUGCCGCUUUUGUGGGACCCAGCCAGCGCCACUCUGCUUGGGCCCCCUCGUUUGGUGGUAAUCUGUGGGUCCCUUUGUGGAACCUUUUUGAUCUUUAUGCGUUGAUCCAACGCAGAUCGUGGUUUAGCAGGUGGGCUCCACCUGGCGUUGAGGACCCACAUUUACUUCUAUUUAUGAGGUUAUGCUACUAUAGGGUCUCACCUCCGCCUCACUCAGUCUGUGGACGCUAUGGAUCGAAGCAGUGCGUUUGGGCUUGCAUUUAUCUGCAUUAUAGUGGCCGGCGUCGGAGGUCAAUCUCCGGCAGCGUCGCCGACGGCUACUCCUGUUACGGCUCAUAGUCCGGCCACUCCUGCUGUGGCCACUCCACCUGCUUCUUCACCUGCGGCUGCUGCCCCCACCAAAUCUAAAACGCCGGCUCCGGUCACGGCUCCCACUUCGUCACCACCUACGGCAGUUUCCUCUCCGCCAGCUAGCUCUCCCGUGUCAUCUCCUCCUACUCCGGCUGUGCCAACGCCUGCCUCGUCACCGGUGGCUGUGACUCCGGUCAGCUCGCCACCUGCUCCGGUUCCGGUCAGCUCUCCACCUUUGCUCCCGCCUGCGAAAUCUCCUCCUGUUCCGGCGCCGGCAAACCCCCCCGCGGCUUCUCCUCCGGCUCCGGUUUCUUCGCCUCCUGCAGAGACUCCGGCUGCAGAGGUUCCGUCACCUGCUCCGAGCAAGAAGAAGACUAAGAAGCUCAAAUCGCCGGCCCCUGCUCCGGCGCCGGAGGCGCUGAGUCCUCCUGCACCGCCGACCGAAGCUCCCGGACCGAGUUAUGAUGCGACCUCACCCUCUCCGUCUCUGCCAGAUGAGGUACGUUAUGCUAGUUUUUCUAUCCAUGGCUGAAGUCUAACAUGCGCUGGAGUACAAUGUGCAUCCAGAUCUGGAACUUUGCUAAAACAAAUCCACAGCACUGCUCACUUCUUCAUUGACACGAUUUACCGCUUCAGUUACAUCCUCUCUGUCCUUUUCUUCCUUUUUUUCCAAAGGUCAAUUUAAAUAAGUUCAUUAGACUACAUAUUAGAUUUUCUAAAAACCAAACCGCGCGGCGUAUGAACUGAAGAUUGAUUGGCGGAGCAGGUUUUAUUGCUUCACCUAAUAUCUUCAAAGCAUGGUAGGCAAAGUCCUUCCUGAAUCUUAAAUUUACAGCUCUAUGUUGUACGAGCCAAUAGUCAGAGCUAUGUGA
rnacentral:lncRNA from 1 species